rnacentral:lncRNA from 1 species
UUCCCCCAACCUACGGCCGGUCCCAAUCACCCUCUGAGUGUGUUGGUCCUGUAUAACACAAACAGAAUCAGAAAAAAACACCCAAUUACCAGCCUUACACAACUGACUGACCGAAACAAGAUUUAAAGCAAGUUUGGGAAUGUAAUAAACAUCAGAGAGGACAAUGUGAGGGGUAGUAACAGAACCAACACCCUCGACUGACAUAGGUACAGCACUCGCGGACAUAACAGAGAUUGGUGAAAUGGGUGACAAAGAACCAAACGAUGACAAAUGAGGGGACAUGUGAUGAGACGCACCAGAAUCCAAUAUCCACAAGGAGGAAGGAAUACCUGAGGUACUAGAAGAAACUGAACCCGAAUGAGACAUAGAUGCUGACAUGGCCGUAGGAUUAGAAACGAAGAACUGUCUGAACUGUUCGAAAACCUGGGGAUCCAACGCAGAAGGUGGCAUAGUGCUAACAGACUCAACAUCUACAGAUGGUGCAGCAGCAGCGAACUGUGGAGGACGAGAUGACCACGGAGGAGCACCAGAUGGGCGUGACGGAUACUUUUGCUGCCCAUAUUUCUGUUGCUGCCCAGAUUGAGGCUGUUUGACCUUGUUAAGUAACAACGGACACUGAGCCUUCCAAUGAUUUUUCUGUUUGCAGAAUGCACACUCAUCAAAUGCAACUUUAGGAGAUUGUCGAGUCUGAGUACGUGGUGGCCUAGACUGAUCAGUUGAAGCAGCAAACACGACAGGAGUAGUAGUUACUUUAGACCCUUUAUCCACUUGAGACUUGAUACGAGUCUCCUCUGCAAUCAGUUCAUGAACCACAGAAUCAACAGUAGGGAGGGGAGAUCGAUGAAGGAUUGUUCCACGUAGGCCCUCAAAGUCAGAACGUAGUGCCAUCAAAAACUGAACCAAGCGUUGCUCUUCCCGUCUAGCAAUGUACGGCCCAAAACCUUUUAACUCUGCAGAUUCAGUAAGUGCCAAUUGAUCCCACAAAUCCGACAUGGCAGCAUAAAAAUCUUGAAUACUGAGAUCAUGCUGUUGAAGAGCACGGAUAUCAUACUCCAACUGGUACUGCUUAGCAAAAUUAGACUGAGUGUACAGUCUUUCCAAAUGAUCCCAGACCUCCUUUGCUGUGUCAUACUUAGCCAAUUGCAUACCAAUUGACUGAGUUACAGAAUUGUUGAUCCAAGUGAUAAUCUUGGAGUUAUUAGUUUCCCAUAAGUCCACCAACAAAUCAAAAUUUUCAGUUUUAUCAUCGAUAGGUCUUGGUUUUACUCCAGUGAUAUAACCCCACAUAUUCUUCCCACGAAGAAAAUUCUUCAUGACAUAACUCCAAUAUGCAUAGUUCUUACCAUCUAAUUGAGUACUAAUGGACUGGAGAGAAUCAUCCUUUCCAGUCAUUGUAAACACAGCAACACACAAACAAUUCAAAAAAACAAAAAGAUGCAAAACCCUAGGUUGAACAAUUCCGAACGAACAACAAUGGCAGCAAGCAAAAGAACGAAAGACGAACAAUACCAGACAGCAAACGAAGACAGCAACGAAUCAAUCCAACCAAAAAAACCCAACGAAAAUAGCAAACGAAUACAGCAGCACCUCAAAAAAAAUUCGGGACUCCGCCCCGAACCCCGGCAGGGGGCGCGCUGCCCCCCGGAAGGGUUACUGCUAGCUGUUCAUUAGUGUAUCUUUGACACUAGUUCUUGCAGAUAAGUUUGAACCUGUUCAUGAGGUGUAUGUGAGCUUUGAUACCAUGUUAAUAGAACUUUAUUGAAGGGAAGAAAGGCUAAGGUUUACAAUAUAAUCUGAAAAGCAUAAAACUAACUAAAACAAGAGUAGGCUAUAUAUACAUAGCCAAUAACCUAAAGGUCCAUAAACUAAAGGCCCAAUAACAUAUGGGCUAACAUGAAGAAUUUGCAUUUGUGUCUCUGAUGUAACAUUUCAAGAAUUUGUAUGUAUUUGCGAAAUGUUUUCUUUUUGUUAUUGAUUGUGUUCAUUCGGUAAGUUUUCUUCUUUUUAUAUUGAUUGUUUCUGUUACAAUUUCUUUCUGAUGUGAUUUUUCUGUGAAUUUUCUUUCUGAAACUAGCACUGGUUGUUUUUAUUGAAACAUUAUUAUGUGAUUAAUGGCAGAAGCGAAUGCAGGAUUUGAAGUUUGUGGGUGCACCAGUAUUGUUAAAGACACGUAUAAGCCUCGAAGAAAGACUCAAAAUGUAUUGAGCGCUCGCCUCGUUUAAUGUGCAGCUUAGGUUAUAAUUUCUGAUACAUACUUUCCCUUGUCAAUGAGUCUUUCUAAAGAGACGAACACUAAACAAUUGAUAUUUCACUUUAUAAAAAAAAAAAUUAUUUUGUUCAUAUAUUUGCCAUAUAUUUGCCAUUCACGCUUAUAUUAUUAAUCUUAUACUAGACAUAUAUUUAUAUCUUUGGUACCUUUAUGUCUUUUUUCGUUAAAUCUCACGCUUAUUUGUACUUUGUGCUUAAACACAAUAAACCUUGAGGUUUUCUUACGCUUAUUGCUUUUGAUAAUAUUGUGUAGCACCAAUAUUAUCUUAAGACGUUAGAAAAACUUUCGAUGUCGAUUAAGGGAUAUUAUCAUAUUCAAUUGGUUGCCAAAGACAUGAACAAUACUGAAAAAAUAAAUCUACAGAACAAAUGAUAGUUUAAACUAAUAACUUCACUUUCUAAUAUGAAGUUUACUUUUAACAUUUUUGAACAAUUAGUUAGUUGUGGUAGCUCAAUGGUUGCGGGUUCAAAUCUCAGCCCAGCAAUUUUUGUUGUGCACAUGCUUCAACCAGCCCACCAAGGUAGUAUUAUCAUUCAUCUUUGGGUGCACUAUCAACUAUAUCCCAAUUUCUUAAGGUAUAUAUGCAUAUAUAUACACAUUUUUUUUCGACGUUAACGGGUGCGCAUGCAAAUUUGGAAGAUACUCUUCUUGGCAAAAACAUGAUUUUUUUUUUUUUGAGUUCUUGUCCAAACUUUUUGGGGAGCAUCUUUUUUUUUUCUUUCUGAAGUAAACAGAAGUUGUAUUCUCGUGCAUUUUGGGGUUUGGGGCUUCGGGUAGGAUGGUUAAGGGGUAAAACAAGAUGGAGAAAAUGGUCUAGUCAUAGAAAGGGGUUCAUGGAACUAGAAGGUUCAGCCGCAGGUUCUUUAUCCUUUUCUUGUAAUUCCUCAUCCCUGGAUUUAGCAUACUUAGGGACAUUUUCGAAUUGAAAUUCCUGUCGAUGCCCAUCCCCGUUUCCAUCCUCAUCAAAACCAACCCAAACAAGCGUAGGAGCCAAUAUCUUAGUACUGCUUCAAGACAGUAGCAGUAUCAUUUGAGUUCAGGUAGGAUGACCCAAACUGGAGCUAUAGGAGUUUCAAUUAAAAUUAGAAGUCCAAUUGAAAAGACUCUAUAGUCUGCCUACUAUCCAUAAUUUUUGUUUAAACCAUACGUUGUUGUCAUUUACAUUCUCAAGGUGAAUAUAUAAAUGUGUGGAAUUGAAGUGAGUGAUUUUUGCCUUACCACUUAACCGAACUUUAGAGUUGAAGCUUCUUCGAAUAACCUCCAUUUUGGGCAUUGUAGAGGAAAAUUUCCCUACGACAGUGAACCUGCAUUUGUGCGCAACUUAACCAUAUAGUCAUCUCUCUUGAAAAUUACAGAUGGGUAGCCCUGUUUUGUGUUAAUCUUGGCAGGCCUUAGUUUGCUUUGGGUGUCCUCCGGAGCAGCAAUGUUAUUCGAUUAUAGUUGAAUAGCAUAGGAGGGUAUAACAGAAGGUGUGAGAGGUUCUAUUUCUGAGCUCGGCUUAGGAAAAUUUCUGUACCAUGGAUCACCACAACUGCCUGAUCGAUCUGUUUGGUAUGAGUGUUGGAUUGGGUUUAGAUAGGUCUGUUUCGUUGAUUUUAGGAGCUGUGGGUUUGUUAAAGUUGGAUGAAAUCGUAAGCAUAUUAUUUCCCGACUUCUCCUGUGGUCUUUUUAGCAGUGCCCAUGGCUUCACCAUUUACAAUAUUGGAGGGAUUGGGAGUAGUCAGGUCUUGCAUGUUUGUUUCUGGGUUAGGAGAAAUCAUAUUGAGGUUGUUGGAUAUGGGAUUUUGGAUUGAAGAGGUAGGGUAUGGUCAGAGGCGGAUUCAGAAUUUCAAACUUGUGGAUUCCCAAGGCUCCUUUCCCUACCACUAAGGUAUCCCUUGGUUUAGUUAUGGGUUCCCACCUAUUAAUAUUUAUAACUUUUGACGAUUUUUCUAUGUAAUUUUAAGCCUUACGGUAGCGGGUGUGGGUUCCCGGGAACCCACACCUCCUACUCUACAUCCGCCACUGGUUAUGGUGUUUCUGAAGACCCAGAGCUAACUGACCGUUAGACUAAGAAAGUCGUGUGUGAGAGGCGUGUUCCGUUUGUCAAAAAAGAACCGUUUUUCCAAAUUAUAGUGUUUUGCCUCACUUCUACUCUUUAGUGGUAUAAUGUGCAAUUAUAACUGCCGUUUUAAUCUUGUUUGAUUCCAUGGUUUUUUAGAAUUCAGCAUUGUGUCCUCUCUCUAUAUCCGUUUUUUUUUCUAGCCUCUCCUACUGUGUAUCCUUAGAAACGGUUAUGUGAUAACUGAGAUUCUCCUUUUGCAGAUGAUAAAUGACAGAGAAGAAAACAGUAGGAUUCUGCUUGAAGCAGCAGAAAAUGGUGAUGUCUCUGCAUUCAAAUGGGCAGUAGCUUUACAUAGAAGCAUUGAUGAACCAUAUGACUUCGGGGAAGGUAGGCUCAGAACACCCCUCAUGAUUGCCUGCUUUCACGGCCAAGUUGAAGUUAUAAAGUUUUUGAUCAAGACAAACUGCGUUUUCGUUAACUUUCAGAGUAGCGAUGGCAUAACUGCCAUCCAAUACUCCAUUCAGGCGCAACUCCCGAGGAUAUCUUCCAACAACUAAUAUUGGCAGCUAGAAAUUUUCUUAUAAACCACUACAAAGUAACACCCUGUCCGUACAGAUUCAUUCACGGCUGGAAAAUUUGUCCGUAUUUGCACGAAGAUCAAAACUGCACAAGGCGUAAUCCUUUCAAAAUAUGGCUACUCUUCAGCCCAGUGCCAUCUCUUCGCACGUGGCCAGUGCAUUAAUGAGUAUAUUGUAGAAGGACACAUGGGAUGGAUGAAUUUCUCUACCACCCGAAUGUUUUCAGAACUAAGCCAUGUAUUCAUGGACGUAAUUGUUGGAACAAGGACAAUGGGGUCUGUAAACAUGCCCAUUAUGGAGAGGAUGAGCUCGUCAAUACCUUUCCCUCUUUCAACCCCACCAAUCUUGACAUUGUGAUGCAGCACUGGCGUACCGUCCAUGAGGAGCUCUGGAAAUAUACAUAGGAUCUUUUCUCUUUUCUCUUUUCUCUUUUCCUUUAAAGUAACUUUUUUCUUACUUUUUUAGUCACUUUUUUCUUCACUUCCUUCACCUUAUUCUUGCAGCUCUGGUUUCCCAAGAAGACUGUCAGGAUUUUAGGAAGCUUAAUACCAGUUUGGUGUGGAGUGCUGAACAACCAGAUAUCUAACUCACGAUUUGACAAUUUGGCUGCAUAUUAGUUUGAACAAGUAGCUGAUUGCAAGAUUUUUUAAGGUUGGUGAAUUCCACAACAUACAUGCAUUCCCAAAAUAGGCAAAUGCAUCUCAUAUUUUUUAUGUUGUGUUUGAAACAAUCUUCAUUGAAUUGGGAUCAUCGGGCCAUGACUUCUUUUGCUUUGGUUGCCUAAAUGCUUAUGAUAUGAAAGGGUCAAACAGGGAAUCAGUAUGUCCCAUGUAACUGGUCAUAGAAACAAUAAAAAGGUUCUUUUUUGUGCUUGUGAUAGGUGGUGUUAAGAUUUUUAUCAACGGUAACUUCUUUGCAUCUUCGCAGGAAUGUUUAGGAUAUGCACUUUAAUUUCUUAUUGUGUUUUGUUUAAUUUCUCCCUAGAGCUAUAAAAUAAACAAGAUCAGGAGCAAUCCUGCAAGCAUCAGGAGGAGAUAAAUUAUACCACAUGGGUAAACUUCUUUUGAAUUUCCUACUGCUUUUUCUGAAUUCUGUGGUAUGUGAUCUAUGCACUAAACUACAACAAAGAUGAGGAAGAAAUAGCCUUUUUCUAAUCAAGAAGUAUGAAAGCUUAUUGCAAGAUCCCAUUUUCUUGCGGUACAUAUUUACAUAUAUUUCGAGUAACGUCGAUAUUUUGAGUGAUUACAUCAAAAGACAGAAAUUUCACAGUGCUUCUCUUCAUUUGAAUCUAAGAUCCAUUUCAAAAAAGUCUAGCUACUAAAUUUGUCUUUUUCUUUAAUAUUAGUAAUUAAUUUACUUGAUAAACCAAGCCUGGGAAAUAAUCCUUAUAUUAGCAACUUGUAAUUAGAAACUAUUGAUUUAGAUAGAUGGCUUGAUGUUAUAUCUUGUUAACGUAGUCUGCAAACCUUUUUUCAGGGAUGGCAGGAUAGAAGUGAUUGGUGGGGAGGAUUCUUGAUUUCUCCUUUGCCAUACAAAUUUUUAGAGGUUGCUUCCUACACAUGUAAUUAUGCUUCAGAUUGUUAGAUUAAUUGUAGAGUUUCCCAAGUGUAUAUGUUUCGUUAUUAUUCUCGAGAAGUUUGCAACACCACAUUUCUUUUAUAAUGACUUGGACAGCGGUAUUUGGGAGCCUUAUUUUCUUAUUUACAUAUUUACAAGUUUCUUAAAGAUGAGGUCUUUGGUAUUAAUAAUGUUAAGUUUAUGAUGAAAGUCAAUGAAACUCUAAAUUUUUAAUUUUAAAAUUCCUCAACUACUUUUUGAUGACAAAGUUUUGUUUCGAGUGUUGCAUUCCAUGAGUUAAGAAUAAGAGGACAACUAACUGCAAUAGGCAUACAUUUAUGAUACUAGUAUUCGUUCCAGCGUGAUGCGUAAAUCGUUUCAAAGCAAGAAAAACCAUCAACACGUUUAUUGGGACUUUGGAUUAUAAGGGCAAAUAAGUUUCCCAAUUUAAGUGAGAAUCCUUCGAGUUUUAAAAAUUAGGUGAAAGGGCCAAAAAAAAAAAUUUAGUUUUUUUUUUAAAAAAUAUUUUUGUUCAAACAACUUUGUGCAGUUGUUGAACAACUUUGAUAGUUGUUCGACAACUACGCGAAGUUGUUCAACAACUUUGCGAAGUUGUUCGAUAACUAUGCGAAAUUGUUUAACAACUGUGCGAAGUUGUUGAGAUAACUAAUGCAGUUGUCGAACAGCUGUUCCAGUUGUUCAAGCGACUUUAUUUUUUUAACUUAAUAAAAUUGUGGGACCCACUUAUCCUCCUUUUUUUAAAUUAAAGACUUGAAAGGGUUUAUGAACUCAUUUUUCUCGGUGUAUUAUGUACCAUUAUCAUACAAAAUUGCUAUACUUCAUAUUGCAUUUAGAGAAAUUUCAUAAUUUCAAGUCCCUUAUAUAUAUUACUCUCUAUUCAAAUGCCAGAAGUAUUGUAAUUUGUCUAGAAUACAAUAAAUUCAAAUACAUCUAGCAGAUUUCGCUUCUCAAAUAGUAUCUCAAUUUUUUGAAUUAAAAGAGACAAAUAAGUUUGUUAAUUAAGUGAGGGUCCUUCAAGUUUUAAAAAUUAAAUAAGAGGACAAAUAUUUUUACAAUUUUUUUUUUUAACAUUUUCGCUCCAACAACUAAAAAGACUGUUCUAAUAACUUUAGAUGUUGGUUGAACAACUAUCAAAGUUGUUCGACAACUAUGCAAAGUUGUUCGACAACUUUGAUAAUUGUUGGGACAACUAAUACAGUUGUAGAAUAACUGUUUCAAUUAUUUAAGCGACUUUAUCUUUUUUAAAUUAAUAAUAUUAUGGGACGUACUUGUCACCUUUAUUUAAUUAAACACUUAAAGGGUCUUUCGGCUCAUUUUUCUUCAAUUUUUUUUUUAAUUUAUAAAGAAGAUUUAUUGGUACCAUACAAUUCAAAGACAAUAUAUUUCUAUUUCUUAGAGAAAAUAAUUUUAGUUGGCGCUGCCGAACAAAGAAAACUAAUAAUAUUGAAGAAAAAAGUUUACUCAAACGAAGGUCACAAAGUAUAGUAAUAAUGACAAUGCAAAGAAGCCAGCUAUUUUAAAGAAAAAAAAAAGACACAACAACUAACAAAGAAAUUCAAAUGUUAAAAAAAAGGCCAAACAAAUACGUGAUUGAUGCAAACUUACAUAGAUGUGAGGUGUAAUUGAACUUGUACUCCCAAGAAAAUAGGAAUUACUAUUUACUAACAUUAUCAAAUCUCGACAAAUUGAUAAAACCAACUUCAGAAAAAAAAAUACAAAAGAAAUGUAUAUGUUAUAAUUAAAUUUACAAACACGAAAGAAAUAAUAUCAUACAGAUUAGAAAAUGAUCCAACAUAAUAGUACAUUUUCAAGAUUUUAAAGCAACAGUCUUGUAAAUCAAGAUCAUCUGGUCCAUUGUAUCUUUAAGGGCCAUCCGACCAGGAAGAUCUUUAACUUGACCUCAAUUAAUUGUUUGGAGUCCUUGUUCUUUGUGUAUUACUCAAUAAUUAACAAUUUAUUAGAUUGUUAGGUAGCUUUAAUAUCAUUAUUCACCACUCUCAUUUUAAUAUAACAUUGAUAUAGAAUUUGCGGCUCUUAGCUUGAUCUAUUAUUUAUACUUUUAAUCAAUUGUUCAAUCAUAUAUUAAUUAUUUAAUUAAUUAAAAUUUUAAAAUUUACUCAAGUAUAAUGUCCUCACAUUAUUACUAUCUCCCCUUUUGAAUACAUUUUUCUCUAUAUAAUAUUUUAGUUAAUUUUUAGACGUUUAGUAUUCUACAUUGCAUACAAUAAAAUAAUGUCAAAUCGAAAAUAGACUUUUUAUUUUUAAUUUGUCUAAACUAUUUAUAAAGGAUUAUUUUAAUAAUUUAUCAUAAAGUAUAUCAAUAUUUAUUUUAGAUAUUUUAAUAAUCUCAUAAAGUUUUUGAAUAUAAAAAGUGAUUUUUUAAAAGGGAGAAGGACAAAAAUUGCUUUUCUCAUAAAAGUUAUUCCACAAAAAUAGCUCUUGUUUUUAAUUCCCACUUAAUAGCCGUUAAAAUAAUUUCAUAUUCUAACCAUCUUCUAAUCACCGCUAAAAAGCCGCAAAAAUCGCUUAGUAUAUUUCUUUCCUUUUCAAUUUUCCCCAAUUUUACCUUAGGAUUCCUUUCCAUUAAAACCUCACAAUUCCUCUUUCAGAUACAACAUAUUACCUUAAAAUACCUUUAUAAAUUGUAUAUAAAUAUAUAAAAAUCCUCCGUCAAUUAGCUUCAUAAAGUUUUUUCCAUUCACCAUUAGCUUCAGUUGAUACAAAAUUAUGGCUUCAAGUUCAGUUUUAGUUCCAAUUAUGCUUCAAUACGGAGGAGAGUGGUUAAGUGAUGUACAGUUUGAAAAGUUUAUAAUCAAUGGAAUACUUUUGAAUUCGAAUUGCAGGUACGAAUAUUUUGUUGAUGAACUAUAUAAGCAGUUGAAUUUAGAGAAAAAUUUCGGUUUAAUGACUAUAAAAUACAUUGUGAAGAGUGGAUCUAUGACUAUUUACAAUGAUAUGAGUGUUAGACUUUAUAUGGAGAUGAAGAAAAGAAAUUGAAUAUAAAUGAAUUUUCAUUGUGUGUAACACUACAAAACACAUUUGAAAAUGAAGAAUCCUCAAUUGAAAAUUUGAUCGAAACAUCUCUAACUGCUAUUCAUGUUCAUCCGAUACCUAUUUCUGAUUAUACAAUGGAAGAUAAUUUUUUUGAGGAAGGAAUGGAAGAACAACCUGAAUUGAUAAUAAAGGAUCCACUUCAUAGAGAUGUUGAAGAAGGACAGCUGUACUGGGAUAAAAAUACAAUAACAAGUGUGAUGAAAUACUAUGCAAUUCGUGAGAGAUUCCAAUUUAAGGUGAAAAGAUCAACAUCAUCAAGGUAUAAACUAUAUAACUUCUCUAUAUGACCUGUAUCAACAGUGUAAAUUUUUUUAUUUUGUUGGAAUAUAGGUGUAAAUUUGAAUAAAUGUUGCAUACAAUAUUGUAACUACUGUAUAGGACCUGUAAAUAAACUGCAUAUGACCUGUGUACAGACUUUGUAACUACUAUAUAGGACCUGUAUAUAUACUGCAUAUAAAGUACUGCAUAUAAACUGUGUAAUUUCUAUAUAACACCUGAUGUACAUUGGAUAAUAAACUAUAUAACUACUCUGUAUGACCUGUGCCAACAAUGUGUAAGUUUUUUAUUUUGUUGGAAUAUAGGUAUAAAUUUGAAUAAAUGUUGCAUACAAUAUUGUAACUACUGUAUAGGACCUGUAAAUAAACUGCAUAUGACCUGUGUACAGACUUUGUAACUACUAUAUAGGACCUGUAUAUAUACUGCAUAUAAAGUACUGCAUAUAAACUGUGUAAUUUCUAUAUAACACCUGAUGUACAUUGGAUAAUAAACUAUAUAACUACUCUAUAUGACCUGUGUCAACAAUGUGUAAGUUUUUUAUUUUGUUGUAAUAUAGGUAUAAAUUUGCAUAAAUGCUGCAUACAAUAUUGUAACUACUAUAUAGGGCCUGUAAAUAAACUACAUAUGACCUGUGUACAGAUUGUGUAACUACUAUAUAGGACCUGUAUAUAUACUGCAUAUAAAGUACUGCAUAUGAAUUGUGUAAUUUCGGUAUAACACCUGCAUAUAUAUUGGAUAUGAACUGUGUACUACAUAUACAUUUAUUGUAUAUAAAUGUAUCUAGGUACUAUUUUAAGUGUAUCAAUCAAAGAUGUAAUUGGACUUUUAGAUCUUCAAGUCAACAAAAUUCAGAAAUUUUCAUGGUGAUAAAAUUUGUCAAUGAUCACAGCUGUCCAAUUGCGGACAGAAUGCUUUCACAACAGCAUGCUACUUCUUUAACCAUCGCUAAAAUGGUGAAGCACAACUUUCUAAAUCUAAAGUCAACAUACACUCCUGUAGAGAUCAUGGAAGAAAUGAGAAACUUGUACGGAAUUAGGAUGAACUACAAAAAAAGCAUAUAGAGCCAAAGAAAAAGCACUUGAACUGGUUAGAGGUUCCUUGCGUGAAUCUUAUGUUAAAUUGCCAGCUUACCUAUACAUGGUAAAUACAACAAAUCCUGGAUCAUUCACAAGGCUACACAAAAUGGAGGACAAUCAUUUUUUAUAUGCUUUUGUCGCGUUGAGCACAUCAAUUAGGGGUUGGAGAUAUUGUAUAUCUACCAUUAUUGUUGAUGGAACUUUCCUGAAAUCUACAUACAAGGGAACAAUGUUGUCUGCUAGUGUGCUGGAUGCAGCAGGUGAGCUUUAUGUAAUUUUUUUAGAUAAAAUUAUGUAUAUGCUAGCAUGCACUGAUAGGCACUUUUCCACUUGUUUAAUCAGGACAUAUUUUGCCACUAGCAUAUGUUAUUGUUGAUUUUAAAAAUGACGCUUCAUGGGAAUGAUUUUUCCACAUGUUUAACACUACUUUUGGUGAAAGAGAAGGCAUGUGCAUAGUAUCUGAUAGGCAUGACAGCAUAUUAAAAGUUGUUGCACUUGUAUAUCCAAAUGUGGCUUACUGUAUAUGCAUCUACCAUCUAUGGAACAACAUCAAGGGUAGGUUUAAGAAGAAUCAAAAGCAAUUAAAGGGAAUCUUCUUUACAAUGGCUAGAACAUACAUAAAGGCAGACUUUGAUAGGCUUAUGAAAGACAUAAAAAAAAUCAAUAAUAAGGUGAAGGAGUAUCUGUUUGAUAUAGGCUAUGAAAAAUGGUCCAUAGCUCAUUCCCAUGUCAACAGAUCGAUGUUCAUGACUUCAAACAUCGCAGAGCGCCUAAAUUCAGCAAAUAGAGAUGUAAGAGACCUGCUAAUUAAAAAAUUUCUAGAAUUUAUGAUGGAUCUAGUCAUGAGAUGGAAUAAUGAACAUAGACAACAUUCAGAAGCAAUAUUUAUAGAACUGGGAAACAAAUACAAUAUAAUAAUGAGAGAAAAUUUCAUUUUGUCAGAUAAAAUGAAGGUAUUACUUCUUAUUUCUACUUCACAGACACUUACAUAUUCUAAUAUGCACACUAUUUACUAAUAUAUUUGUACAUUACAGGUGAUGGGUUCUACUCACUAUUCUUAUAUAGUCAUUGAUGAAACUGAAAAACGAAACAUUGUUUGCAUACGUGAAAAAAAUGCUCCUGCCUACAAUUUUAAGUAGAUGGCAUACCUUGUCCACAUGCUAUGGCGGUGCUAAAUUACACGCAUAUGGACUUACAAAGCUAUUGUUCUCCAUAUUACACAAGAGAAAACUUCUUGAAAUCAUAUGAACUUCUAGUUAUACCACUUUUUGAUGAAACAAUUUGGCACAUUCUACCAGAGAUAUCAGCUAAUAUAGUACUGCCACCAAUCUGAAAAUCAAACCAGGAAGACCAAAAAAGAACAAUUGGGGAAAGGGCAUUAUGAACUACUUUAAGCAAUAAAUUUCAUGUGGGCGCUGUGGAAAAAUAGGACACAAUCGAAGAACGUGUGGAAAUGCUCCAACAAUAAUAGGAUGUUGUUGCAAGAACACUUUUAUCUUUCCCAUUUUUUUUCUUGAAAAAGACUAUUAUUUUUAUAGAAAUGUAAUAGCAACAAUAUUAUUUUACUUCAAAUGCAACACUUUCAGUUUAUAGAAUAUUGCUUUCAAUUUCAAUUUCAUUUCAACUCUUAUAGAAAUCUGUGCAUUAUGGGUUUCAUUUAGCCACAUUCUUUGGUGAGGUGCACUAAUCAACUUCUCUGAGCUGGGGGAGUGUAAUUUUUUGGCUAUAAUUCCUAAAAAAUGCAUGUCAUCUCUAUCAAUCAUGUAUAAUACCUAUAUACAGUUUGAAUAUAUAUAUAUAUAUAUAUAUAAGAACUAGUAUUUAUCUUUUGAAUAAAAUUAGCAAAUACAUAGCACCUCUAUAUUUUGAAUAUAACUACUUUUAUAAAUUACAACAAUAUAUAAGUGUUAUAUAUGAUUGGGAUAAAUGUAUGAAAUUAUAGAAAUAGUGUGCUUAAACUGUGUAACAACUGUAUAGAAAUUGAAUAAAUGUUGCAUAUAUACUUCAUAUCAACUGCUGCAUUUAAACUGUGUACCUACUGCAUAACCACUGCAUAGGACCUUUAUAUAUACUACAUAUAAAGUGAUGCAAGAACACUUUUAUGUUUUCCAUUUUUUUUCCUUAAAAAAAGACUAUUCUUUUCAUAGCAAUGUAAUAGGAACAAUAUUAUUUUACUUCAAAUGCAACACUUUCAGUUUAUAGAAUAUUGCUUUCAAUUUCAUUUCUACUCUUAUAGAAAUUUGUGCAUUAUGGUGUUUCAUUUAGCCACAUUCUUUGGUGAGGUAUACUAAUCAACUCCUCUGAGCCGAGGGAGUGUAAUUUUUUUUUACUACAAUUCCUAAAAAAUUGCAUAUCAUUUGUGCCAAUCAUUUAUAAUAUCUAUAUACAGUUUGAAUAUUUGUAAGAACUAGUAUUUGUCUUUUGAAUUAAUUAGCGAAUGCAUAACACCUCUGCAUUUUGAACAUAACUACUUGUAUAAACUAUAUAACUACUUUAUUACAACAAUUUAUAAGUUUUAUAUCUGGUUGAUAUAAAUGUAUGAAAUUGUAGAGAUAGUGUGCUGAAACUGUGUAACAACUGUAUAGGAACUGAAUAAAUAUUGCAUAUAUACUGCGUAUCAACUGUGAUCAACAUAAACUAACAUUUCAGCAUCAAUUGUACAAAAUUGUACCAAUUACCAAAACAUAUAGUAUUCAGCAUAAUAUUUCAUCAUAAGAAUCUCCCAGUGUAUCAACACAAAAUAAAAACAACCCUAACCAUUUCAGACUAAAAAUAUAUUUCACAUCUAUGCUUCAAAGACAUUUCUAACUAAAUUUGCUGUACCCCAUCAUUUUUCUUCAACAAUAGACCAGUAGAUUCAUCUUCACUAACUGCAUAUUGUCUUUGUUUCUUCUUUCCAUAAUCCCAUAACAACACACCAUACCGAAUACAAAUAGAAUCAAUAUCAUCUAGAUGAUUGGAAAUUUCAAGAUCAUCAAGUAAAUACUCAGCAAAGGAUGUAACAUAUACACCACAGUACCUGCAAACAUAAUACAUCAUCAGUAUAAUUCACAAAAAAGUAUGUAAAAUGAGCAAUUGAAUGUGCGGUAAAUGUGUGACGUGUUAGCUUGAGUUGGCAGUCCAUCAACAAUACGAAUAUAAAAAAAUUUAGCCAGUGAAAGUCCAUCGCUACUACUUUCCCAAAAUCCAAUACAAGAAAGAAAGUGUGGAAUUAAUUCUGAAUACGCUGCAACUAAUUUCUAAACAUGAACGACAUGCCUUGCACCGCGCAUUGAAUCAUACACAUAUAUGCACUAAUAAUUAAAAGACAGCCUCGUCAAAAUUCAGUGAAAGUUCUCAGCAAGAUUAAUUGGGAAAAGAACAUUGUCAACGCUAUUCUAUGGGAUGUUGCAUCUUAUAAAAAAUCCAAGCAUGUACUCUACGAUUUGAUGUUCUUGAGUGAUAAGUGUUAGAUCUUUAUCAUUUUCCACAAAUCGCUUAUCAAAGUCUGAAUCAAGUAGUUAAACCAACAAUCGUUGGUUGUAAAUUUAACUGAAUCACAAAUAGGUCGUAUUUUGACUUCUUUCACAAAUAGUAAAAGAUAACAUCAAUACGCUGAAAAUAAGAACAACAAAACCACAUUAAAAUGCUAAAAAUGAAUACAGAACACUAAUUUAAAUCUGAUAAAUACAAACUACUUAUAUAAAAUGCAUCACAUCAACUACUGCAUACAAACUGUGUACCUACUAUGUAGGACCUGUAUAUAUAUUGCAUAUCAACUACUGCAUUUAAACUGUGUACCUACUGUGUAACCACUGCAUAGUACCUGUAUAUACACUGCAUAUAAAGUGUUGCAUAUAAACUACACAUAAAGUACUGCAUAAAUAAUGCAUAGAACUUAUAUAACAUGUAUCAUAUACAAAAAUUCAGUAUUCAAAUUAGCUUAUCACUAUCAAGUACAAAAAUAAAAGAUAUAUAACCUACUUAACUAACAAAUUCAUUACUUAUUGAAUCAGUUAAGGGUACUCCUGGAUAUGCCAAUGUGAAGAACCACUCUUUCAUUUUAACAUUAUCAAUUUCAUAGUCAAAAUAUUUUGAAAGAGCAUUGACAGAAUUUGAAUAAACAGGCUUGUAAAAAAAUGUUACAAAAAUGUAAUAUAUGACCAAAAAAAGUAAAGAAAAAAGAAACAACAAACAGAAACUUACAUCUGUUUAACGUGCAACGAUCUUGCAACAAACCUGUUAAACUGUAAUGUCACUUUCAAAUCAUCAAUUCAUUUCGUAAUACUUUUCACAAAAGGAUGCUUUAUAGACAAGACACCGUUACUUGGUUGAGCAUUCUCUACACGCUUGGAUGAUUGACCUUCAAAUUUGCCACAACCAGAAUCAAAUUUUGACAAAAAAGGCGAUUCACAUACUGCCGUUGGCUUACAUAAUCGGCGAACAAUAACAGAUGUUUCACCUAACAUAACAGACGCAACCACCAUGUUUUCCUCAAUCCCUUUAACAUGAUCACUUGCAGUUUCAUUAACCUUUCUAACAUUAUCACAUACUAAAUUAGUUGCAUUAGUUGUUGCAACACUCUUAUCGUGUUGAGUGAACUUAGAAAUUUUAGCGUCUGGAAUUUCUAACCAGUUAAGCUCAUUCUGGCUAAGCACUGCCACAUCACCUUCUUUUUGUGUUUUUUGAUCAUGAAAAGGUUGAGUAAAUUUAGACAUUUUAGAAUCAGUAAAAUUGGACCAAUCACUAUUAACUUGAUUAUUUCUACCCUCCCUUGUAUCCUUAUUUUCACCGGAGCUUGUAUGAACUUCAAAAAAUAAAAAUUUGAAAAAUUCUUCCAUGAACCAUCCUUCAAAGUUUCAUCCACAGAAUCAACAACGACAUGACCAACUAUACAAUCACCUACAAAAUUAACUUUUUCUCCAACGUCAUACACCAAAUGAACAAAUACGGCACCACCUACACAAUCUAUUUUUUUCCUACAUCAUCCAUCAAAUUGUCACGUCUAUGAUCCACUUUCGAUGCAACAAUAUUUUGUUGUCCCACAUUAGUUGGAUCAUUAACAUGAUCAUCAUCCAUACCACCAACAUUAGGUGUCUUAUCAUCUUUUACAUUUGAAGUGUCACCAUUGUUAUCACAAAUUGAUGUACCAACCUGUACAAAAAAACUUUGUAAAAUAAUUACAAUAGUGUAUAUAAGAUUUUUUAAAAAAAGAAAAAAAUCAAGAAAGAAUACCUUGGGUACAUUCUUUAUAUCUAGAGCUCGAAAAAUCAAUUCAAAUGAGGAUUUCAUAAACUUCUCCAUCGAGAAAAUCUUUUCCGUUAACUAAACAUGAAAGGAAAAAGUCAAAACAUCAUUUAGCAAAAACAUACAAAUAUUACUAAAAACCUUCGACAUACCACUUUAACAUCACUUCUCAAGAGUGCCAAUUCAUUAUCUGAGCUCGAAUUACUACAAUCUUAUUUACUGGUGCUAGGCAAAUUAACAGAGUGCACAACCGCAUUCACAAGUUUGAAAUCAGGUAAUUGAAGGAUUGUUUUUUCAAGAACUAUCGGCGUAAUGUUACGCAACACAACCUGCAAAUACAAAAUAGCACUUGACAUUUAAGAAGCACAUAACAAUUUAACAAAACAUAUAUAAAUUACAUUUUAAAACAACGAUAUACCUGAUCUUGCCUAGUAUAGAAAAAUGCAGACUUGACCUCUUUAUAUGUUGGUCUAUACUUUACAAAUUAAUUCAGUAUACGAGGCACACUAUCGCCCACUUGGUCAGCAAGAUGGCCAUCAGCAUAAGGACAACACUCUAAAACCAACACUAAAAUGCAAGAGGCAAACCAGCACAACGAUACAUAGUUUUUCGUUGAUAAACUUUAGACUUCAUUGACUCCAACAUUAGACGAAAACAUAAUUUUCCCAAGGAAAUGUUUCAUAGUUCCCAGAUUCAAUCAAUAAGAAAUUAUUCUUAUUUAUAACAUCACUAUACGUGAUAGAAAAAAGAAAGGAAUGAAUGAAGAACAAAAUAGAAAUUUGUAAAACAUCUUCAUCACAUCGCCACUUUUUGUCCAUGAAACACUCUUCUAAAUCAAGCUUUGUGACCUUGGACUUUCCUGGAAAAUACAACUCCAUCAACUUACUUUCUUCAGAAGCAGCAAACUCAUUAUUGUAAUUGCCAGUAUAUUUUAAGCUACUAAUUAUAGCAAACUCUUGUAAGACGAACCGUAACCUAGUGUUAUUUACUUUAAUCCGGAUUUCAUAAUCUCUCUCACAAACAAGUUUCCUAAGCAACAUUCCAUGGAUAAAUUGAUUUUGAGAAAGAACACUUGGUAAAGAUAAGAAAUACCUAAAGCAAAUAUUCUUAAACAAAUCAAGUUGCUUCUUGUCCAACUUAGAUUUCAAGGCAGUCACAAUACCACAGUUUGUGUGCAUGCUGAGUUGACACUUAUAAUGACCAGAUGGACCAAGAAACAAAUCCCAAACCUACAAUAAGUAAGUGUACGUUUAGGUAUAAAUAUUUCAAAAAGCUACAUAUAUUAUGCAUACAGUAUUCAUUGCAAUAGUGUUGCUAAUUUUACACAGUUACAGUUUAAAUAUUCAAACUAUACACAGUUGUUAUACAAUGCUGAUACACAAAUAGUUAUACAACCACUUUACACUAAAUUUCACAAAAAUCACUAUCCAAUAUAUUUCAUAUACAACGAUGACACAUAUUAUAUACAACAAUAACACACAUAUUUCAAGCAUACAGAAAUUCUACUAAAAAAGUCAACAUCUAUCAGACAUAAUUAAUACAGAGCAAGCAUAAACAAUGUACCUCAAAAUCAGUUAAUUUGGGUAUUUUUCUCUUCCAAAGAGCUUUUUUACCUUUCUUUAUGGAUGAUUGAGCAUCAUCUUCUCGGUCAUUUGAUGAAUGAUUCCUUUUUUUCAUUUUUUUGGGAGGAACAACAGUAUCUCCUUCAUCAUUCACACAUAUCUUCUCCUUUCCUUUAAAUGACUUAUCAUCAUCUUCAUCAUUUUUUGAAUCACUGUUUUUUUUUUUUCUUUUUGCGAAUAACAACAAGAUUUGAAUCAUCACUCACAUCUGUAUGUGUCUUUUUUUUAGCUGAUUUAUUUUGUUUCGCCAUUGAUGGAUCACCUACUAAUUUACCUUGAGACCUAGUAACUCGAUUAGGAGUAGCAUGAACAUUCUUCAAAUCCUUCAAUUGAACAUCACGAUUUGUUAAAUCUUCAAAAUCAUCAUCACUAACAACGAAAUUAGGAUCAUAUCUUACACAUUUACCAGCUAAUUUCGUAUCAAUAUUAAUCUUUUUCUUGAUUUUCAUCUCUACAAAUGUUGGAAAAUCCUAUUCUGAAAGAGCACUCAAAAAAGGUAACUGUAGGUAUCAGUUAAUGCUUUUUUUCUGGCAAAAAGGACAACUGAGAAGCUUUCACCUUUAGAGUGUGCCUUAUUAAAAUAAAGGGCUAAUAAAUGACAAUUAAAUCAUUCAAAAUGUUACUUUUGUCCAAAACGUGAAACAUGGGUCAUUAUUGGUCAUUAUUUUUUCAAAGGUGAUACGUGAUGUCCUUUUCCCUUUUUAAAAAUCUUUUGACUAAAAAAGAGUAAACAUCUAAACAUUUAAGUAAAAUUACUACUGCUGCUCAAAUGAGGGAAGCAAUGCUUGGUUGUUACUUACAUGGCAUCAAAAAUACUGAUCGGUCUUUUUCUUACAUGCUUAGAUAGAAAGAUAAAUUUAUUCAAAUAAAAAGGUACUAAAUACAUAACUAAAAGAAAAAAACAAAAAGAUUGGAUAACACAUAAAUAUAUCAGAAAAUUUUUUUGUUUUCUUAAAGUUUUUUUUUAAUUGUUUUAUAUGUCAUCCCUUGUUAUAAAGUGAAAAUAGAAAGUAGUAGACUCUGAUUGAUUCUUUGCAUUAACUCCUUGAACCCCGGUGAAUCGAAUUAUAUUGAGAUUAUUAUAGAUAAUGUUGAUUAAUAGAGAAAAUAAAAUUGAUCAUUACUUCAGUAAACUACACAGUAUAAUUAAGACAUUAAGUUCAUGUUCCACUUUAAUGUAUAGUAACAAAUAAGAAAUUUCUGUAAUGCAGAAUCAAUUUGCGGUGAUAUCCACUUUAAAAAUCAGACAAAUUAUUUAUAAGGAAAUGUUAUUUUUGUAAUGAAAAUAUUUAGAUGUGUUAAUGAAUCAAUAAUACUCAUGAAAACCAAAACAAUUAAUAUAUGAUAAUUGCAUAAAAAUCUCAAAUAUGCUUAUUUCUUAUGGAUUUCAUAUAAAUUUAUUAUGAUAAAGUUUUUACUUGAAGAUCAAAGUCAUAAAAAAUACGCAUCUUGACUGUCUGCCAAUAAAAUUUUAAGAUUUUAAUCAACAAAUAAUUUUAGAGAUUUAUGUAUUGUGUUCUCUACCAACCAAAUCAUCUAGCAUGAAGUUAAUGUCUUUAAUAGACAUAUGUGUUUUUCUAACAAUAGAAGAACUUAAUAACUUUCAUGAAUUUAAAAUCUAAUUUGUCCAUUUAAGGAAUUGCAAUAUACAUGAGGCAUCCACGUCUCAUAAAUAGUGUUAGUACCCAAAGAAGCGGGGGUAAAUUUCAUCCAUGGUCAAUUAACUUUGUAUUUAUUACCCAAAAGUCACUUUUCUUUCAUUCAUUUCAUCCAUGGUCACUUAACUUUAUAUCUAUUGCACAAAAGUCAUUUUUCUUUCAUUCAUUUCAUCCAUCGUCAUUUAACUUCACUCCGACCAUCACAAAAGUCACUAUGACCGAAUUUUACAAUAAUUUCAUCGAAAAAAUGAUGUGGCAACCUUAAUUAGUUCUUAAUUUUUAAUUUUAGUGAAUAUAUGAUAUAUUACUCAUAUCUUGACUCUUUUUAUACAUGCACAACCCAAUUUUCCUUGUGGAUUAUUUAAUGAAAGAAUAUCUAUUUCUAAAUAGAUUAGAUUACCUAACGAAGACUAUGUUCAUAAAAAAAUAUAUAUUCCUAAAAUCUUCUAAAGUUGAGACAUGUGUUGGUAAAUUAUUUUUUUCGACUAAUAUAUUAUGGCAUGUAGUUGAUAAAAUUAUUUUUCUCCCUAAAAAAUUGUGACAUGUAGUUGAUAAAAAAAAAAAAUUCAUACAUUCUUUUUCUUACCACUUGAGUCUUUGCAUUCAGUACAUCAUCAUAAUAUGAUAAACUACUCUAUUUAUUGAGUUUGUCUUUGAAUUUUUAAUUGUUUGACUAAUCGAUUAAUUCUCUAAAAAAUUUUAUUACAAUAUUCAAUUUCUGAUAAAUUACAUAUUGUUUAAUUAAUUUAAUUGAUAAAUCUAAAAAUUAGAUAUCCUAUAAUUUCUUUAUCUAUUAAAGUACUUAUAUUUUAUAACUUUGUUUAACAAAACUGUACGUUAAUAUCACAUUAUUUGUACAAAUUUUGAAAAUACUUAUUCAAUGACACAAUUGAAAAGAUUUUAUUUUAAAACUAUCUUUAGCAUGUUGAUUUAUCUUCAAAGAAUUAAAAUAUUUUUUUUAAAAAAAUAAUAUCAUACAUGUAUUUCUAUUUUAUGUGUUUUGAAGAAUUUAUCUCGUUUAUCACUCUUUUUCGAUUGUAACAUCUCACAAUCCUCUUCUUAUCCCAAUUAAUUAAAAACUUUUAUUUAUUUAUUUUCUUCAUUGGUUUCCAGCAAAUAGCUUGUUACCUUUUGAUUUUCAGCAAAUAGCAUGUUACCUUUUGAUUUCCAGCAAAUAGCAUGUUACUUUCACUUACCAGCAAAGGUCCAUCAGUUUCUCACUUUUCUUUUAAAGUUUUUAUUACUUUCCUCAAUUUCUUAUAUUAAACCACCCCCUCUUCAUCCACUAGUUUUCACAAAGUAAUAUCACACACAAUAAUCCUAAUCACUUAAUUUCUAUGAAGCUCCAUAAAAUUGGCUCAAGGGAUCAAGCUUUGUUCCUCCUUACGAUCUAAAGUCCUUUAAACGUUUGAGGUAUGUAAAGCCGUCUCUUUACAUCUGUAAGUUCUAUUGUUUUUCUGAUAAUCUUAACAUCUCUAGUUUUCUGAGAAAUCAGGACAUCCUUAGAUUCAUCCAUUACAUUAGUUCUUCAAAUAUGUUUUCUGGAAAUUCACUAUAGAUCAUGACUACCUAUUCAGUUUGUUUUGUGAAACUCAUUAAAGCUUGCUUUGAUAGAAGCAUUGUUCCCUUUUGGGUCAUAGCUGAUAUUUAUUCCAGAUUGUGUAUUCACAUGCCAAACCUCUUUAAGUUUAACAAGUAUGUGCAACUGUUAGCAUUGUUUUGGUUGUAUCUGUUCUCCUUUUAUAAUCGAUAACUGAAUUAACAGAACUUAUCAUGACCAAAAGAGAAUUUCAAAAAGAUAUGAAAGCUGCGAGAGUACAGCAACUUUUUAGUUGGGAAAAAGCAUUGAGGAACUUAACUCUCAAUAAAGUAAAGAAUAGUCACCAGUUAUAGAAUAUUUAAUAUGCAAAACUACUGCAUCUGUGGGUUCAUUUGGAUAGCUUUCAAGGAUCUACCUUCUCUACUAUAUCUCUUUUUAUUCGCUCAAUUAGUGUCUCUAUGGACACGUUUACCUUUCUGGAAAUUUUUCAGUUCCUAAUUGUCCAAAGCUGGUACAUAUAAUUGCUCCCAUAAAGUGCUGUCACAAUUCCCUUUUUGAGUUACUUCCUGUGGAUUCUUUUAAAUGCUUUUCAAUACAUCCUAUUCCACCCUCUUAGAUGUGAACGACCACAAUUUUCAUAUCUUCAAGUAACCCAUUUUGUGCGCUUACAAUCAGAAAAGAUGUGUAAAUAAGUCUCACAGAUCUACCUAUUCCAUAGGUUAUAACUAAUAUCAUCACUCUGGAUAGUCUUGUGAACUAGCAUUUAUAAGCCAUAUUCACGAAUUAUAAAUACGAACCAUAAAAUUAACUAUCAUUACUCUCCAAUAUUAAUAGUGUUAAUUCAUGAAUAUUGUAACACCAUUUCGGGCUAGAACAAAAAUCGUCAUUUCUAUGCGUAGAUGAUCGAAAAGCCAUAAAUCCUGUUCAAAUUUGGAAUUUUAAUCAAUUAUAUUGUGUGGGAACCUAUUUGAGCAUGAAUUGAGAUCUUAGAUGUCCCCUAACUCAAGGAUGAGUUGAAAGCUUUCCUAUCGUUCAAGUUUGAGUGAGCGUAAAAACUUGGGUCAACUUCAAUCAACCAUAACUCUUUGUACAUAACAAAUUAGAGGUCCUACUAUAUAUCAAAUGAAAUUUCUUUGAAUUAUCUUUCCAACGAUAUCAAUUUCACCAAAAUUCGAUACUCGAGCAAAAAGUUAUGGCCAUUUUCGUGUCUGAGACAGUAGCAUCGGACAAUUAACGUACGACGCACGCUCUGUCGCACGCACCCAAUUUCCAGGUCCUUUUUCACAUUUUUAAGGACAAAAGUGGUAUUUUUCACAUCCUAUCCAGCCAUAAUACGGGAUUAAAUCCCUCAAACGCCAAAUAAGAUCAUUCUCUCUCAAAAUCACCAAGAACACUUCUUAGGGUUUCAACCCAAAGAUCAAAAUAUCUUAAGAUUUCACCAUGGGUUUUCAAUAAUUCUUCGAGAUUUGGAAUCCCCAUUGCGAGGGCUACAAACAUCACCCAUCAAUUGUUCGAAUAUCAUCCCUAAAUACGAGUUCAUUCAAGAGUCAUAAAUUAAGGUACAUAGGAUUUUCCUAAAAUUUCAUGGGCAAAGAAACCAUCUUUAAUCCAUGCUAAUGGUUUAGAAAUCAUGAUUUUUAAGAAAGAGGUUUUGAAUUUACUAUUACUAGCAUGUUUUAGAAGCCUUGAUCAGUAUUGUUUUGGUCUCUAGGCCUUCCCCCAAAUUGAUUUGAAACUCUAUAUAUAUGUAUGCAUGUGUUUUAAGGAUGAAUAUACAAUUGAAGGCAUGAAUCCUAAAGAACCCCUCUCUUAUUAUGAUUUUUCCCAUCUUUUAUAUGAUAUGAAUUAUGUUUGAAAUAUCUUGAUUAUUGCUAUGGCUUGAAUAUGAUUUUGAAUCCAAAAAAAAGGGUUGUGCAUGUUGAUAAACGUUGAAUACACUUUUACUGAAAGAAUUGCAUGUUUGCCAAAAAUACAUGACCACCACAUGGUUAUUGAAAGAAUGACAAUCUUAGCAUGGUUUUGACUUGUGCUUUUGAAACAUGAAAUUUCCUAUACUAUUUGCAUGCUUGGGUGGUCCAAAUUAUGUUCUAAGGAAAGAAUCAUGCAUGGUACGAUAUAGCUCAGAAAUAGGACUUGCAAGUCUUGGUGUGACGACACUAACUCAGUUAAAGCCAUAGUAAUUCAGAAAAGAAUAGAACAUAUGUUUGAAAUCAGAUUGUUAGAUUAUGAAUUUAGAAAGAUGCAUGUUUAAAAAAAGUUUAAAAUUGGACUUGAAGGGAGUUAGAUGGUUACCCGAAGAAAGUACGAUUGAAAGACUCUAUGCUAGAAACCCUGAUUUGCCGACACGGGAUUAUGGUACCAGUCUUUGUGAUCUUGUGUACCUUAAUUCAUGUCGUCCCAAAUUGAGACUAUGGUUAGGAACCCUACUUGGUGAUCUUGUGCAUUACCAUGACAAGUUGAUUUGAUUAGGGAUUUUGGCACCCUUCUGUGUGAUGUUGCGUGUCCCUCUUAUACAUACUCCAAUCCUUGCGGCAAACUUGGAUCAGGGGCUUGUCCGCUGAAUCAAGGGUGAUUUCAUAUACUCCAUGGAAUUACAGAUUGUAGGGUGUACCAUCUUUCUCAGAAGUAAGACAAAGAGUGAGUCAUGGUUUCAAAGAAAUGUUUCAAAGUCUUUAAAAUGUGUCCAUGUGUUUUCAUAUGUUAUAUGUAAAAUGUUUUAUGAAUUUCUCUCACUUAUGUUAUAUAUAAAUAUAUUAUUUUGUAUUGCUCUACGUACCAGUACAUCUGUAUUGACCCCCUCCCUUCUAGGUUCUAAGGCUCAAUCUAGGGGUCUCGAUAAUUAGUAAAUUUUAUCUAGAUAGAAGUACAGAGUUCUGUGGUGAGCCUUCUAUGUUUCAGAAUGACUAGUUUACUUUAUUCAUUUAUCAUUAUUAUGUGUUGGGUCUACUAGGGGCCUUGACCCAAUUUUCAGACAGUUGUCAUUUGAUCACGUAGUAGAGAUUUCACAGACUGAGUCAGAUAUAACUCAGAUAUUUUGAAUUACAGUUUUCAUUAAGAUUUGAAUUUAGAUUUAAUGACCAUGAUUCCAUUUCAUUAUGUAUUUCUACAUUAUAUUUUUCAUAUGAGGACAGUGUAUGAGAUUACAAGUUAGAAGGGUAUCUGGGCCUUCAUGGUUUGGGAUGCUCGUCACGGCUAGGGCUCUGGAUUGGGUCAUGACAAACUUGGUAACAUAGCACAGUUCAUGGUCUUAGGGUGUCUGCAAAAUCACGUCGGGUAGAUUCUUGUUUAUGGGUGUGUAGUGCGCCACACUUAUAGGCAAGAGGCUACUAGGUGUUUUGGAAUGUCUCUCUUUCUUCAUAUUAUACUUCGUUCUAUGGAGUCAGAAUGUUCCUCUUACAUAUUCUAAUUCGUGCUAUGGUAUUGCCCAUACGAAAGUAAAGUUAUCCCCAUUCUUUCGUUAUUUUGAUGUGCUCAGAUAUGUCUCAUUAUUUGGGUGAUUCAGGUGCAGAAGUUUAGAGUCUAAAUGGUAUGGUCCUUUUUGAUUAAGCCAUAUAAGAGUUUAAAAUUUGUGCAAGGACUUGAGAAGAGUCUGUUAGUGCUCCAAGGUGUAUUGAUUCUAGUCUGUUAGUGCUCUAAGGUGUAUUGAUUCUAGUGUGAACUUUGAUUCUGAUGAAAUCGUACUUUUUAGCCUGCAGUAUUAAGUGUAUUCAUUUAAUACACCUUGUAACUUGAUACCUAUGUGGCUAAAUACAUUAUGUAAUUUAUGACUUCUUGAUCAGAUUUCGAGUAUGGUUGUUUUCAUGAUGAGAAAAAAAAGUGUCCUUGGGUAAAACAUUAGAUGUAAGAGAGACCUUUCUUAGUUUUAGAACAAAACCUAAGAACAAGUCAACUAUCAAGAUGAAGGUUCCUAAAGAAAAAUAGAUUAUAAAAUCCUAAAAUUAUGACUAGCAUGAUUGUUUUAAGUGUGGCAUCUUGUACCUUCGAUUUAGGCUUGAAUAUGUUAAGAAUAUGUAAUUAGAACCAGACUUUAGCAUAUGUAUGUGCCCAUUUGAGUUGGUAAUAAUGAAGUGUGAUAUUCAGAGAAAAAUGGGGUAGCUUUGAAAGGUGUUGCUGAAAUCGAAGGCUACUAGUAUUAAAUGUGAAAAUGCUCUUAUUCCUAUGUGUAAUGUCCCACUGUUUCAUGUCAUAUAACUUCAUUUCGAAUGGGAAUAUGCCUAAGUCUUUAUCAUGUCAUUCAUGCUCUAGGAACCCAAUUCAGAUAACUAAGAUACCCUUAUGGUUCAUGCAUAUGAUAUUCCAUAAAUUCUUGCAAUUCGCUUUUUCAACUCAAGCCCCAUGGUACACCUGUCUUAAAUCGUGAUUAUGUCUAUUGUCGUUGGUUUAUAAUUUAUAUUUUCUCUUGGUGAGUUUCUUUUUGGAGUUUUGACAUUAUGGUGAGAAAUAUAAUAAUAAGAAAAGUUCAUUUCUAGAAGUUUCAUUUCCUAAUGCUAGUGUGUUGAGUUUUACACGAAUAUAUAACCUCCAUUCGAUAACGAAUGAACCCAAGAGGGGGAUAUUGUAACAUCUCACAAUCCUCUUUUUUUCCUAAUUAAUUUAAAACUUUUUAUUUAUUUAUUUUAUUCAUUGCUUUCCCGCAAAUAUCAUGUUACCUUUUGAUUUCCAGCAAAUACCAUAUUACCUUUUGAUUUCCAGCAAAUAGCAUGUUACUUUCACUUUUCAGAAAAGGUCCAUUAGUUUCUCACUUUCUCUUUAAAGUUGUUUAUGACUUUCCUCAAUUUCUUAUAUCAAACUACCCCCUCUUCAUCCACUCAUUUUCACAAAGUAAUAUCACAUACAACAAUCCUAAUCACUCAAUUUCUAAGAAGCUCUAUAAAAUUGGCUCAAGGGAUUUUUUUAUGGAAAUACGGAGAGCAGAAAGCGCAGAAACCGUACGCAAACAACAAUGAAGAUCCACGACGAGCAAAGCCGAAUUUCAUAGCACCGGAUGAAGAACAACUUGUCCAUACUGAGUAGAUCUUUAUAGCUUGAGCCUGUCAAAGCAAUCCUUAGUAGUAUACUUAAAUUUUGUUGAUGUAUUUGUUGAGAUCUGUACCCAUAGCAAUUUUUUUUACAUUUUAUUUAUUUGUUGACUUAUUCAGCUAAAUUAUGAAGGCUUCGAUUUAUUUUAUUUUGGCUAUGAAUUUUAUUUAUUCCUUAGAUUUGAACUUAUUAAUUGAAAAGGAAUACUAGAUUCAAAUAUUGCAACAGAUAAUGUAUCUGUUGCAACAGACGACACAUCUAUUGGAAAAUUCGAACAGAUUUAGACAUAUGUUGCAAUAGGUAGGUGAUCUAUUGGAAUUUAUCAAACAGGUCUUCCCACUGUUGCAACAGAUGGACUUUAGAUAAAAACAUCAAGAUAAUGCAACAGAUGACACAUCUAUUAAAAAAAAAAUAGAUUUAGACAUAUAUUGCAACAUAUGGACUUUAUCUGUUACAACAGACGACACAUCUAUUGGAAUAAUCGAACAGAUUUAUACAUAUGUUGCAACAGGCAGGUUAUCUGUUGAAAUUUAUCAAACAAGUCUUCCCACAUAAAAAUUCAACUUUUGUUGGACAUACAAAAUUGACACUACGUUUAAAAAGGUUAAAGUGAAUUGAAAUUAAAAAGGUGCAACCCAUCGAAGGUGUUCAUUUCAAACACCUAAAAUAAAAUAGGCAUCAAGUAGACAUGUUCAUUUUAAGGACGUAAAAUAAAAUAGGCAUCAAAUGUGUUAGUGUCAGUCCUGGCACAUUUCGCUAACUUGCUGUCACUUGGCCCCCAACGGUCAUUUUUUUCUCUAUUGUCUUAUAUAUUCUUCUUCCUCUUAAAAUUUAACCCUAAAUUUCCAAAUCUUCUUAUUUAUCAUCAUCAUUUUUUAUCUAUCCAAAUUUUUUAAAUUAUUACUUUCAUUUUUUCCAACUGACCUUGACAAUGUCGAGAGCAUCUUCCACUGUUUUUUGUGAUAAAGAUUUUUGAUAUUGUAAGUGCGGUCAUGAAGCUAUGUAAAGACUUCCUUGGACUAAACAAAAUUUGGGUCGUAGGUUUUUUACUUGUAAGAUUUCAAAGGUAAUAUUUUUUUAUUUAAUUAAUUGAUUAAUUAUUGACUUGUAAUUGUUUUGUAAUUGUGUUCUCUUUUUUAUAGAAAUUGGGUGAAUGUGAUUACUUUGAUUGGUAUGAAGAACGGCACCCUUCACAAUCAAAUUAUGUAAUCUGGGGUUUGUUGAACAAAAUCAAGGCUUCUGAAGAGAAACAAAAUCGAGCAAGAAGAUACUACAUUGUUGUCGUUAUUGCUACUGGUUUGGUGUUGUUGGGCACAUGGAUAUUGAAGCCUAAUUGCUGAAAUUUUCAUGGUGGUNNNNNNNNNNNNNNNNNNNNNNNNNNNNNNNNNNNNNNNNNNNNNNNNNNNNNNNNNNNNNNNNNNNNNNNNNNNNNNNNNNNNNNNNNNNNNNNNNNNNNNNNNNNNNNNNNNNNNNNNNNNNNNNNNNNNNNNNNNNNNNNNNNNNNNNAGAUUGACAAUCUAAUCUAUUGCAUUAUAAAAAACUCAACUUUCAUCAGAAAAAAAUUAUUGCCACUACAUGUACAUGUAAUAAAGUGAAGGGUGACUUAAAAUAAAAAAUUUCUAUUUCACAGGCUCUUCUAUAUACACAGUCUUCAAGCGUCCAGUUAGUACCCCAUAAGCCCAGACCUCUUGUAGGUUUGCCACGGCGUUGUCGGACAAAAAAGUCAUUGGCUUGGCCAUUUCUGUGCCAGUCAGCAAACAUUCGACGUAUCCAAGAGCGUGCGAGCCGCUCACAUUAGCGACAUCAUCUUUUGGAAGGAUCAUUCCCCUGUUUCGACCUUCAAAAUCCCAUGAUUUCUUUAUCAACACUUCCUUUGGCAAAUGAUUCAUCAGUUUACUCUCCCUCAACAAGAUGGGCAACAGCACCAGCAGUGGCUCCACGAGAAGAAAAAAAAUUGAAAUCAUCGAUGAGAGGUACGUUGGAGUCAUAAACAUUGAUCUUUCCCUCCUCGAGUAGUAUCUCAACAGCCCGAUAAUGCAUGUCGUUCAAGCUAAUGACUGUAAGAAUCCUUUUUACCUCUGUCCAGCUCUUGCCAUGUGGAUUUGGCCUGUCCCCUCUAACAUAUCUUAACAUUUCUUCUUCAUCCAAGACCAACGUAGAAACUAGGAAAUCAAGUCCCACGCCAAGGGAUGACGCCUCUCCAUUGAUUUGAUCGUACUUAUCCUUGAGCUUCUUGCAGUAAUCGAGUUCCAUUAUCCUAUCGGCAGUGUCAUAAGCUUUUCUGUACGUUAAUUGACUUUUCCUCAUAAGGUAGAGAAUUAUGUCAACAUGCCGUGAGAUAUGAAGUCAAUUUUUAAAUAGGUUAGUAAUUCUAAAGAUGCACGGAUGGUCCAUCUAUUGCAUAGGGUUCUCUGAAUCAAUAAUCCAGCGCAAAUUAUGCAACGGAUGGAUAAUAAGUUGCAACAGAACCACAACCAAUUGCACCAGUAUACCCAGUUGUUGUAACAGAUGUGAAAUCUGUUGCGUAGCUUCUUGAUGGGGUAGAUUAGAAGGGUUAGGUUAGGAAAAGUAAAUUUGCCUUGUCCUCGUAUUGCAUACGCAUAUCAGUCAUAGUCUGGAAGUCUUGGGGGGGAAAGAGAGGUUUGGGGUAAUCUGGUGCGCCUGGCUUAGCAUUCUUGGCCUAUCGUAGAUCCCUCUUCUCUUCGGGGCCAAGUUCCGCGUAUAUGUCCACCUUCUUGACUGGCCCCUAAACUUUAACAUCUUUUGGAGAGGGAGGAAUUGCAAUUUUAUUUGGUUUCCGAGCGGAGAGUACGUCUCUAAUUGCUUUUUUCUUUCUCCUAACAAACGUUGUAGGAGUGUAUGGCUCCCUCACCUUCUUGGAUGGUAUGACACACCUCUUGGAUUUGAAUUCCUCGAUAGCUUUAGAGAUAGACUCUACUUUUUUAAAGAGUUUAUCCUGUCUAUCCUUGCACUCAUCACAUUCGCAACGAGAAUACGAGGGUAAAGAGGGGUGAGAGGGACCUGUGUAAGGGUGAAAAGGGGUGUUCUCAAACAUAUUUAUUCUUUGAUAGCAGCAUUAGAAUGCCUUCCUCCAACACCAACAACUCCACCAGAAGAAGCACCUGGAUCUGCCUUGGUAAAAGGUUGGUCAUGAAGAGCCUCAACAUUAGACUAACCUUGCCUAACUGCUCUUCUUAUGGCUGUUGCUAGCCAAUUCCUUCUUUGUUAACUCCACCGUUGGGUUUGCAAUAGUAUCAACAUGACCAAGAGUAAUAUAAGAAGUCAUCACCGACUCCUCCUCAGUAGGCACGAUCUAUGGAUGCACAAUCUAUAAAAAAGAAAAAAAGACAGAUGCAUUUAAAUCAUAUAAUAUAAUCAUUUUCACAGUUGGGCUACAUUUAAAAAAAAAGACCCAUCUGUUGCAUAGUUUGCAGUAUAUGGUUAAAAUCCGUAUGAGUUUGGUUCAGAGAAAUAAAGCAACAUAUGGAUAAUCUGAUACAAAAUAUCAAUCAUCUGGUGCAACAGCUACACAAGACGGGUAAUCUGUUAUGCAAUAGAUGAUCUGUACAUCGCAACAGAUGAAUGAUAUGUUACAGAUUAAACAUCUGUUACAUAAUUUGUAGUAGAUGGUUAAUCUUGUAGAAGUCGGGUUCAGAGAACUAAAGCCACAUAUAGGUAAUCUAAUGCAAGAUAUACACCAUCACAACAGAUGUCCCAUGUGGUACAUCAAAUAUAACAUCUCAUGCACCAGAUAUACCAUUUGUUCAAUAUCUUUCUUAUCUUUGAGUAGAAUUAUUUUACUUGAAGAAGAUGUACUACAUCAUUCGGAGGGUUAAAGAGAUCAGCCUUCUUAAUAUUGGUGUUUCUCUUUGCAGCCAACCACCUAAACAUCCUUGGAUGAGAAACCUCAUUCGGGUAAUCCAUUUAUUGCUUUCGGAGGGGAGGAAUUGCUUCAAAUGCCCAAGCCUAAAAAGUGUAAAUAGGAAGCAAGAAAAAAAAUCAUAAUAACUAUAUUCAAUAUAAAUUAAUGGAUGAGUAAAAUUAGUGAUUAAUUUUACCAUGAAAUCCCAAGGAAAGCCGUAUAAUGUGGUCCUCUUUCUCUUUCUGACUCUCCAAUUCCUCCUCUUUUUCACUUUUAUUUUCUUCAUCAUCAUCUACGAACCCUUGUACACCUCCCUCAACAUUGUUUUCACAUCUCUCCUCAGCUUCACUUUUUCCUGACUGAGAUUGUUUAGAAAGCUCCUCUGAAUCCCUCUGUACUGUAGCCUUUUUUUUUAAUGGUCAGACGUUGAUCCACUUUCACUUUCUUUUCUUUUGGGAGACAUGUUUUACCUACAGACAAAGAAAAAUAAAAAUUACAUUACAGUUGAUGUAUGCAUAGAUUUUAAAAAAUACAUUACAAACACCACAAAUAACGACACACCAACAGCCACCACCACAAACACCACCAACCAAUUCCAACAAACAAACAAACACCACGAAUACUGAUACCACCACAAAAACCACCAACCAAUGCACCACUGGUGCCACCACAACGACCACAAACACCACCAUCACCACCAAUACCAUCCAAUUAUACCACGACAGUUAAUGGAACACUACGAUGGAAACUAGGGAUUUCUUGAGUUCUUCCUACAAUUUUACCAUCAAAACUCAAAAUUGUAAACCCAUUAUCGAAGAUAAUACUAUUAUUGAGUGAGAAUGAGAGAGAAAGAGCCAAACCUCAAGAUUUGAAAUGAUGAAACAUUUUGUAUGAGUUGAUUUGUAUUUUGGAAAAGAAUGACAAGUAGUUUUGAAAAUGUUAAUUUGGUCCGAAAUGAUCUUAAUUAUUUUUAAAAUCAUAAAAUAUAUGCGUAAUUUUUAAAAUCAUAUAAAAACAAUUGAAGUUGUAGUUGGCCGAGUACUCUAGGAGGUGACCUUGUGAAAACUCACCCCUGGUCCUAGAUUAAUCAAUUUAGGAGUCUAACAUAUGAACUCAAUUGAAAUUGUAAAAAACAAAUGUUUAAUAUGUUGCGCCAGAUUUCUCAUCUGUUGUAAAUUAUCAAUCAGAUUAGGUAACAACAUAUUAUGAAUCUGAUGUAAAUUAUCAAACAGAUUAAGUUAUUUGUUGCGACAGAUUACCCAUCUGUUGUAAAUUAUCAAAUGGAUUGUCAUAUGUCGCAACAGAUUACCCAUAUGUUGUAAAUUAUCAAAUAGGCGCUGCCAUCUGUUGAGGCUGACCCUAUGAGAACUCACCCGUAGUCCUAGAUUAAUCAAUAGUUUACCCUGUGAGAAAUCACCCCUAGUCCCAGAUUAUUCAAUCAAGGUAUUAGUACCCUAGUCCUAGAUUAAUCAAUUAAGGUAUUAGACUAACAUAUAAGGUAGUAAGAAUCGGUUCAGCUCAGAGUGAUUGAUUACCAACUUUGGUCGGGAGGAACGCAGUACCGUUUCAUAAUGCAAUUGACAAAAGACUCAAUUGAAGUUGUAGUUGAACCUAUGAGAACUCAUAUUCAAUUAAGGUAUUAGUCUAACAUAUGAACUCAAUUGAGUUAUAUAUAAAUAAAUGCUCAACCUGUUGCAACAGAUGUCUUUUCUGUUAGAUCAAAUCAAACAAAUUAUGUAUUCUGUUGCAACAUAUUACACAUCUAUUGUAAGAUAUCAAACAGAUUAAGUCAUCAGUUGCAACAAUUAUCCAUCUGUUGUAAAUUAUCAAAUGGAUUGAGUCAUAUGUUGCAAUAGAUUACCCAUCUGUUGUAAAUUAUCAAAUAGGCAUUGUCAUCUAUUGUAGUUGACAUUAUGAGAACUCUCCCCUAGUCCUAGAUUAAUCAAUUGAGGUAUUGGUCUAACAUAUGAGGUAGUAAGAAUCAGUUCAGCUCAGAGUGAUUGAUCGACGACUCUUUUUGGGAAGAACACAGUCCCGUCUCAUUGUGCAUUUACUAAAAGACUUAAUUGAAGUUGUAGUUUACCCUAUGAGAACUCACCCCUAGUCCUAGAUUAUUCAAUUAAGGUAUUAGUUGAACAUACGAGGUAGUAAGAAUCGGUUCGUCUCAGAGUGAUCCAUCGAUGACUCUUGUCGGGAGGAAUGCAGUACCGUCUCAUCAUGCAAUUGCCAAAAAACUCAAUUGAAGUUGUAGUUGACCCUUUGUUCUCAUUCAUCCAUACCUAAUUCCACCUAGAUCAAUGUAGGUACUAUUAUUAAUCUUAACAUUAAGUUAAUGAGAACACAUUUCAACUCAGAGUGAUCGAUCGACGACUCGGGUCGGGAUGAAUACAAUACUAACACCAUGCAUAUGCAAUGACUCAAUUAGAUUUGUAAUUGACCCUAUGAGCUCAUUCAUUCAUUCAUCCCUAGUUCCACCUAGAUCGAUGUAGGUACUAUUAUUAAUCUUAACAUUAAGUUAAUAAGGAGCUCAUUCUUUCAUCCUUAGUUCAUUCUAAAUCAAUUACAAUAAAAUUUGUUGCAACAAAUAACUGAGUUGUUGGAGAAUUUCAAACAGAUAACAAUAUUUGUUGCAACAGAUGACAUUUCUUAUUUAAUUAUCAAAUAGACGUUUGCAUUUGUUAUGACGGAUGACUGAGGUGUUGGAAAUUUUCAAACAGAUAUUGAUAUCUGUUGUGACAGAUAACGUUUCUAAUUUAGUUAUCAAAUGACAUUUCCAUCUAUUGUCACAGAUGACUGAGCUAUUGGAAUAUCUCAAAUAGAUAUCUAAAUCUGUUGCAACAAACGACAUGUCUGUUUGAAAAUCUUUUUAUUUUCUUUUAAUUUUAAAGCAAGCUACUGUCCGAGUAGAUAAAGUAGUAGUACUACUNNNNNNNNNNNNNNNNNNNNNNNNNNNNNNNNNNNNNNNNNNNNNNNNNNNNNNNNNNNNNNNNNNNNNNNNNNNNNNNNNNNNNNNNNNNNNNNNNNNNNNNNNNNNNNNNNNNNNNNNNNNNNNNNNNNNNNNNNNNUUUGUAAAUAUAAAUUUGAAUAAAUACACUUUGUUUAGUCAUUUAAUAUUAAGGGUAGUACAUCUAGAAAUUAGAAUUAUCUCAUCUCGUCCCUCCUCUCCUUCAGCCCUAAAUCUCUCAUCUUUUUUCUUUCUAUUCUCUUUAGGGUUAUCACAACCUUUUUUUCUCUCCUCUUUCUCAAAAAUUUUUGUUCAGAUCUAAACUGAUAGAUAUCCAUAUCUUAUAUUCCUCAACUAAUAUUGUUGUUUUGACCCCCUUUUGACAUUGUAUGAUAGAUUCAUUAUUGCUCUUUCAUUCUUGUCUUCUUUUUGCAACUUUAUUUACAUCUUUUUGUUUAUUUAAUUACCAUUUUCCCAUAUCAUAUUUAUUUAAAAAAUUUGAAGGAACUUUUAAUCGUUGAAUAAACAUAUCGAGAAUUUUUAUUAUAAGAUGCGAAAAAAAGUCAUCUGUUAGGAGAAUUUUAAAAGCCUUGUUGGAAGUAUCAUUUUUAUGUAUUUUGUUUGUUUCUUUGUUGUUGAUGCUGUUAUUGAUGUUGUUGGUGGGGCUGGCAUUGUUGAAACUUGUAGUGUGGUGUUGUUGGUGGGUUUGGCAUUAUUGGAACUUGCGAUGUGGUGUGGUUUAGAUGGUGGGUGCUUCUUAGCUUAAAAAUAGUGGAGUCCGAACAAUCAACACAAAGAGUAAGGGAGAAAAACAUAAAAAGUUUAAAGUGAAUAAGAAGAGAAGAGUUGGUUACCAAAAUUUAAAAAAUAUGUGCUGAGUGGGAAUUGAACUCAAGACCAAAAGAAAUAAAUAGCCUUAAGCACCCAUAAACAACAACUAGGCUAACCAAACAACUCUUACUAUAGGUGCUCACUGCUUAGAUUAUAUACGUUAGUUUCUUUAUUUCCACAUACGUAUAUAAAGUUUGAUACGAGUUCAGUCUGUGCUCGCAUACCCGGAGGACUCCAUGUGAGUUCGUCCCUUAUUGUUGAUAGUGUUGGAACAUAGGAUGUAUGCUUCUUUGUAGUUGAUGAUGUUGUUGGAACAAAUGUUGGUGUUUUCUUUAUUAUUGAUGCUUUUUAUUUGUUGUUUGUAGUUUAUGUUGUUGUUGAUGUUUCAACAGAUGGAGAAACUAAUGGAACAAAUCAAACAACCAGCAAGGCUGCUAUGUAUUCCAACAGACUCCAUAUCUGUUGCAUCAGACUCCAUAUCUGACGCAACAGACUCCACAUCUGACGUAAACUAUCCGGGAUCUAUGUGUUAUGUGUGGUGUUACUUAAAUAAAACUAGUGACUGUAUUAAUAUGUAAAUUAAAAAAGUGGAUCUAAAUACAACAUUUUAUCUUUUUGUUGUAUUUCUGAAAGAAACAUAUUGGUAAUCUGUUGAAAAAUAUAUUCCAUCUGUUAGAUAACUUACAACAUAUGGAUAAUCUGUUGCAACAGAUGUAUAUGUCAGUUUUCUUUUCCAUCAGCUGUGGUGUCUGUUGCAACUUGCUAAUCAUCUAUUCAUUCAAUUUCAUCGAGAGCAAUAGAUUUUUCUAAACACUUCUUGGCCAAACUCAAUUUUUUGCUCUUGGACUGCUUCUUUUUUUUUCUUUGCAUCCUUCAAGCUGGCCUCCAAAUUCAAAUUUUUCCCUCAAUCCAAUAGCAAAAAUUAAGUUUGGUUGAAGGAUGCAAAGAAAAAAAAAAGAAGCAAUCCAAGAGCAAAAAUUGAAUUUGGCCAAGAAGUGUUUAGAAAAAUCUAUUGCUCUCGAUGAAAUUGAAUGAAUAGAUGAUUAGCAAGUUGCAACAGACGCCACAGCUAAAGGAAAAGUAAACUGAUAUAUCCAUCUGUUGCAACAGAUUGUCUAAAUGUUGUAAGUUAUCUGACAAGUGAAAUAUAUUUUGCAACAGAUUACCAAUCUUUAUCUUUUGAAAAUACAACAAAAAGAUAAAAUAUUGUAUUUAGAUCUUUUUUUUUUCUAAUUUACUUAUUAAUAAAGUCACCAGUAUUAUUUAAGUAACACACAUAAUACAUAAAUUUCGGAUAGUUUCAGCAAAAUUGCAUUAAAUCCCGGAUAGUUUGCUAAUUAUAUUUUAUCCCGAAUUUUGAAUUGUGAUACAUAUGUUAAGCAGUGAUACAUAUAGCAUAUGUAUCACUAGUAAAUAUGAAUCCGGGAUUUUAUGUAAUUUUUUAUAACAUUAAGGGAUAUUGUGUAAUAUGGUGUCUUAAAUAUGAGAUUUAUGUAAUUUUUCCUUUUAAGGGAUAUGAACAGUUGUGGCUUUUUAUUUGACUAAGUCUAGCCCUUCCAAUUCUCAAUCAUUUUAUAAAUAGGUCCCUCCGACCUCCUCACUCACUCUCACUCACUCUCAUUCAUUCUACUAUACUUAAUAUACUAAUAUGUCAGAUCCAGAUUCGUACAAGAAGGUUCAUAUCGAGUCCUUACAGCAAUUUCAACGGCAGUUUGAUCAACUCCAGAGGGAUUUGGCCGACUUCCGAGCAAGGCUGAGGAGGGCCCUGCUGCUGCCGGAUGAAAAUUGUCAGGUUGACAAUAAUAAUAGUAAUAAUAAUAAUAAUAAUUAGGUUAUAUUUUUUCUUUCUUUUAGCAUAUGUAUUUCCCUUUUUNNNNNNNNNNNNNNNNNNNNNNNNNNNNNNNUUAGGGAUGCGGUCAUGAUGAGAAAUUCUCCUAAAAAUGGUUUGUUAAUAAAUAAUAAGAAACUAAAUGAUAUUAAAAUCGUAAAAGAAAGAUUAUUUAAUUUUAAAAAAGUCACAACAUUGGAUUAAUUUAAUUAAGAUAUAUAUAUGAUGAUAUGAUUUUUAAGAAAAAAAAUUAAUGAAUAGUCGUGACUGUGACUUUUGUCUAAACACAUCCAACAAACAAACAAAAAUAAAAAAACGCUUCUGAUGCAUCAAAUUCUUCAUUUGUUGCGACUUAUGAAUCAGUUAGAAGAAAUCAAAAAAGCUCCUUAAACAGAUGGUCGAUUUAUAGCAACAGAUGGUAUAUCUGUUGAAACAGAUGGGUUUCUAAUGCAACAGAUAUGCAAUCUGUUGCCAUAACUCAAUUAAUCAAAAUGGUUAUUAAAGAAACGAAAAGAUUAAGUCACCAUCAGCUUGAUUUAAUUAAGUUAUUUCUUUUCACAGAAAAGAAUAAGGAAAUAAAUGAUAAACACAAUUUAAAACUGUAAAAAAAUCACCAGAAAUAUUCUUGUUUUUAAAUCUUCUUUAUUAAUUUAUAUAAUUAAAAAGUCAAAAAAUUUGGAUGUCAUGAAGAUAAUUAUUUUUAAAAAAAAGAUAUAUAUAUAUUAUAUGUUGCAACAGAUAUAUUAUCUGAUGCAACAAUUGAACUAUUUGUUGCAACGGAAGAUAAAUCUAUUGUAAUAGAUGAUUUAUCUGAUGCAAUAGAUAUAUAAUCUGGUGUGCAACUCUGUGUAAAAAAUAAAUGGUUGCUGGAAAGAACUAAUUAUUUUAAUAAUUAUAAAGGUAAACUUCAAGCUGAAAAGUCAUGACCUAUCAUAAUAUUGAUUAAUUUAAUUAAGUCGUAACUUUUUAUAGUAAUCAAGAAUGUCAUUAAUAAAUGGAGGUGCACAGUUGUGACUUUAAAAAUCUGCUUUAUUAAUUUAUAUAAUUAAAAAGUCAGAAAAUUUGGAUGUCGUGAAGAUAAUAUAUUUUAAAAAAAUAUGUGUAUAUUAUAUGUUGCAAUAGAUAUAUUAUCUGAUGCAACAGAUAUAUUAUCUGAUGCAACAGGUUAUCUAUUUGUUGUAAAUCAUGAUAUAUCUAUUGUAACAGAUGAUUUAUCUGAUGCAAUAGAUAUAUUAUCUGUUGUCUAAGUCGGUGUAAAAAAAACGGUUCCCGGAAAUAACUAAUUAUUAAUAAUAAUAAUAAAGCUGAAAAGUCAUGACCUAUUAUAAUAUUGAUUAAUUUAAUUAAGUCAUAACUUUUUACAGCAAUCAAGAAUAACAUUAAUAAAUGGAGGUGAACAGUUGUGCCUUUAAAUCUGCUUUAUUAAUUUAUAUAAUUAAAAAGUCUAAAAAUUUGGAUGUCAUGAAGAUAAUAUAUUUUUAAAAAUAUAUAUAUAUAUAUAUAUAUAUAUUAUAUGUUGCAACAGAUAUAUUAUCUGAUGCAACAGGUUAUCUAUUUGUUGCAAAUCAUGAUAUAUCUAUUGUAACAGAUGAUUUAUCUGAUACAACAGAUAUAUUAUCUGUUGUCCAAAACAGUGUAAAAAAAUGAUUCCUGGAAAGAACUAAUUAUUCAUAAUAAUAAAGCUGAAAAGUCAUGACUAAUCAUAAUAUUGAUUAAUUUAAUUAAGUCAUAACUUUUUAUAGUAAUCAAGAAUGUCAUUAAUAAAUGGAGGUGAACAGUUGCAAUUUUUUGUCUAACUCAUUCAAGUCCAAUCCUCUAUAAAUAGGUAUCUCCUUACUCAAUCGUUCGUUCUACUACACAUUAUUUAUUCCUCGCUCUUGUUACACCUUCAACUACUUUCUCUUCAAGGACUUGAUAGCCUUUUCCUGUCUCUAGUAACUUUUUUUCUUGAUUUUUGUGUAAAUAUACGUUGUAUUACAUUACACUACAUUUGAAUUCUUUCUUUUCUUUACUUUUGUGUUUACAUGUGUGUUUUGUCAACUUAUGCAUUUUUUAGAUAUGGCUNNNNNNNNNNNNNNNNNNNNNNNNNNNNNNNNNNNNNNNNNNNNNNNNNNNNNNNNNNNNNNNNNNNNNNNNNNNNNNNNNNNNNNNNNNNNNNNNNNNNNNNNNNNNNNNNNNNNNNNNNNNNNNNNNNNNNNNNNNNNNNNNNNNNNNNNNNNNNNNNNNNNNNNNNNNNNNNNNNNNNNNNNNNNNNNNNNNNNNNNNNNNNNNNNNNNNNNNNNNNNNNNNNNNNNNNNNNNNNNNNNNNNNNNNNNNNNNNNNNNNNNNNNNNNNNNNNNNNNNNNNNNNNNNNNNNNNNNNNNNNNNNNNNNNNNNNNNNNNNNNNNNNNNNNNNNNNNNNNNNNNNNNNNNNNNNNNNNNNNNNNNNNNNNNNNNNNNNNNNNNNNNNNNNNNNNNNNNNNNNNNNNNNNNNNNNNNNNNNNNNNNNNNNNNNNNNNNNNNNNNNNNNNNNNNNNNNNNNNNNNNNNNNNNNNNNNNNNNNNNNNNNNNNNNNNNNNNNNNNNNNNNNNNNNNNNNNNNNNNNNNNNNNNNNNNNNNNNNNNNNNNNNNNNNNNNNNNNNNNNNNNNNNNNNNNNNNNNNNNNNNNNNNNNNNNNNNNNNNNNNNNNNNNNNNNNNNNNNNNNNNNNNNNNNNNNNNNNNNNNNNNNNNNNNNNNNNNNNNNNNNNNNNNNNNNNNNNNNNNNNNNNNNNNNNNNNNNNNNNNNNNNNNNNNNNNNNNNNNNNNNNNNNNNNNNNNNNNNNNNNNNNNNNNNNNNNNNNNNNNNNNNNNNNNNNNNNNNNNNNNNNNNNNNNNNNNNNNNNNNNNNNNNNNNNNNNNNNNNNNNNNNNNNNNNNNNNNNNNNNNNNNNNNNNNNNNNNNNNNNNNNNNNNNNNNNNNNNNNNNNNNNNNNNNNNNNNNNNNNNNNNNNNNNNNNNNNNNNNNNNNNNNNNNNNNNNNNNNNNNNNNNNNNNNNNNNNNNNNNNNNNNNNNNNNNNNNNNNNNNNNNNNNNNNNNNNNNNNNNNNNNNNNNNNNNNNNNNNNNNNNNNNNNNNNNNNNNNNNNNNNNNNNNNNNNNNNNNNNNNNNNNNNNNNNNNNNNNNNNNNNNNNNNNNNNNNNNNNNNNNNNNNNNNNNNNNNNNNNNNNNNNNNNNNNNNNNNNNNNNNNNNNNNNNNNNNNNNNNNNNNNNNNNNNNNNNNNNNNNNNNNNNNNNNNNNNNNNNNNNNNNNNNNNNNNNNNNNNNNNNNNNNNNNNNNNNNNNNNNNNNNNNNNNNNNNNNNNNNNNNNNNNNNNNNNNNNNNNNNNNNNNNNNNNNNNNNNNNNNNNNNNNNNNNNNNNNNNNNNNNNNNNNNNNNNNNNNNNNNNNNNNNNNNNNNNNNNNNNNNNNNNNNNNNNNNNNNNNNNNNNNNNNNNNNNNNNNNNNNNNNNNNNNNNNNNNNNNNNNNNNNNNNNNNNNNNNNNNNNNNNNNNNNNNNNNNNNNNNNNNNNNNNNNNNNNNNNNNNNNNNNNNNNNNNNNNNNNNNNNNNNNNNNNNNNNNNNNNNNNNNNNNNNNNNNNNNNNNNNNNNNNNNNNNNNNNNNNNNNNNNNNNNNNNNNNNNNNNNNNNNNNNNNNNNNNNNNNNNNNNNNNNNNNNNNNNNNNNNNNNNNNNNNNNNNNNNNNNNNNNNNNNNNNNNNNNNNNNNNNNNNNNNNNNNNNNNNNNNNNNNNNNNNNNNNNNNNNNNNNNNNNNNNNNNNNNNNNNNNNNNNNNNNNNNNNNNNNNNNNNNNNNNNNNNNNNNNNNNNNNNNNNNNNNNNNNNNNNNNNNNNNNNNNNNNNNNNNNNNNNNNNNNNNNNNNNNNNNNNNNNNNNNNNNNNNNNNNNNNNNNNNNNNNNNNNNNNNNNNNNNNNNNNNNNNNNNNNNNNNNNNNNNNNNNNNNNNNNNNNNNNNNNNNNNNNNNNNNNNNNNNNNNNNNNNNNNNNNNNNNNNNNNNNNNNNNNNNNNNNNNNNNNNNNNNNNNNNNNNNNNNNNNNNNNNNNNNNNNNNNNNNNNNNNNNNNNNNNNNNNNNNNNNNNNNNNNNNNNNNNNNNNNNNNNNNNNNNNNNNNNNNNNNNNNNNNNNNNNNNNNNNNNNNNNNNNNNNNNNNNNNNNNNNNNNNNNNNNNNNNNNNNNNNNNNNNNNNNNNNNNNNNNNNNAAUAUUUUUGAAAAAAAUUUAAAUGAGUCUCCUAUAAGAUGACAUGUUAAUUUAAAACAUCAAGAAUUAAUUUAUCAUUUUAUGUUAAUUUUAUUUCUAUUAAAUAUUAUUAAAAUUUUAAUAUCUAAAUGUCUUAUAAUAAUUAAUUAGGGAUGACAUAGUAAAAUUACGGUUGAAGUAGCUGAAGUAGACAUGUCAUAAAUGUCUAUUUUACCUUUUUUUUUAAAUAUUAUUAAUUUUCUUAUAUGUAAAUGUUUUACAAUAAUUAAUUAGGAGUAAUAUAGUAAAACCAUUGAGCAAAUAUACUUGUGAAUUUUUUUAAAUAAGUCUCAGAUAAGAUGUCUUAUUAAUUUAAAACAUCAAGAAUUGAUUUAUCAUUUAUAUCUAUCUUAUUAUUUAUUAAAUAUUAUUAAUUUUUUAAUACCUAGAUGACUUAUAAUAAUUAAUUUGAGGUGAUAUAAUAAAACUAUGAUUGAAGCAGCUGAAAUAGAUAUUUCAUAAAUGUCUAUUUUAUAUUUUUUUAAUUAAGUAUUAUUAAUUUUCUUAUAUAUAAAUGACUUAAAAUAAUUAAUUAGGAAUAAUAUAGUAAAAUUACGGAGCAGCUGAAACAGGUGAAGAAGCUCGCAUGUUGACGAAGACUCUUAUUAAUAGUAGUAAUAUGUAUGCUUAUUACAAAAUCUAUUUGUCAAUACUUUUUAUAAUAUCUAAUUACCAAUUCACUUAUUAUUUGAGUUUAUUAUACUUGUCAUAUUUUAUAUUUGAUAUAUUUAUAAAUAAAAUAAUAAUUGAUUCAUUGAUUUUAUCAUAUUAUUCAUAUUAAUUGAUGUUUAGUACUUUCUCCAUCCAUCAAUAGUUGUCCGCUACUAACACACAAAUUAACAAAUAGUAAAUGACAUUAUAAUUUUAUCAUAUUAUUCUUUGAAUAUAAUAUAUUUAAUACAUUAGGAAAUGCAAUGAAUAAUGAAUCGCAUAUAAUGUUAAGGAUAUAAUGGAUAGAAAUGAGUAAAUUAUCUAUUAAUUUUUUUAAACUAGACAAGUAUUGUUGUAUAUUUAUUUUUAAUAUAGUGGACAAACAAAGAUGCACGGAGAUAGUAAUUAAUAGGGUUUGAAAAAUAAUUUAGAGAAUAAUUAAUUAAGUUAACGGUAAAAUAUGAAAUUUUUUUUUUUUAUCUUUUCUUGAUUUGUUUAAAAUAACAAGUAAAUGUAAAAAUCAAAUUAAAAGAAAAUAAUGACAAGUAUGUCCGAAUAAAGAAACUAGUAUUAACUUAAAGUUGGUAUAAAAAUUCAUAAACUUAAAAUCAUAAAUCUGUCUCCAAAAUUUAAGACUCAGAGAAAAGGACCAAUCACGUUAGGUAUGAAGUUGCUCUUUUGAGUCAUCAGAACCGACCACCAUUUCAUGGCUCCGAAUAUUUUGAUAAGCCAAUCCAAUUCUAUACAUGUGUAUUUCUUAGCCAAACGUUAUAAUUAACAUGGCAUGGAUCCGUGAUUGAGCAAUGUCAAGUUGCGCCACCUCCUGGUGGUGUUGCUGAGCUGACACUCCCUCUUACCUAUUUUGAUCAUAUAUGGUUAGACUUCCACCGUAUACGGCGGGUAUUACCAAACUCGAUUUCAUCCAAAACAUUAUUCCUUCUCUUGAAGAUUCCCUCGCUCUCAAAAACUAUACACCCUUUGCUGGCAACAUUGCUUGUCCAAUAAAUUCGAGCGGAUAUCCUGAGUUACGUCAUGUGAUGGGAGAUUUCGUGUCUGUUACUUUUUCUGAGAUUGAUAUGGAUUUCAAUUAUCUCAUUGGUGCCCAUCCCCAUGAUGCUAAGGAUUUUUAUCACUUUGUUCCUAGGCUGGCGGAACCUAAGGAUGCAUCGGGGGUCCAAUUAGCCCCGGUCUUAGCCAUUCAAGUGACACUUUUUCCGAAUCUAGGUGUAUCCAUUGGUUUCACUAACCAUCAUGUUGCUGGUGAUGGAGCUACUAUAGUAAGGUUCAUUAGGGCUUGGGCUCUACUCCACAAAUUCGGUGGCCAUGAACAAUUCUUAUCGAAAGCGUUGAUUCCAUUUUAUGGUAGGUCCAUAAUCAAAAACCCAUAUGGACAGGCGAUGUCCAUAUGGGAAGAAAAGAAGAAAAAUAAUCUAGAGAUGCGUGACAUUGUGACUCCUCAACGUAAGGUUCGAGGUAAAUUUACUAUAAGACGAGAAGAUAUUGAGAAACUCAAGAUUUUAACGUUAUCAAGACGACGGAGUACUCUAACUCAUGUAACAUCUUUCACUGUAACGUGUGCUUAUGUAUGGACUUACUUGAUAAAAUCAGAGUACGUAAUCAGAGAAGAGAUCAUUGACGACAAUGGAAUGGAAUUCUUCUUAUGUGCAGCAGAUUGCAGAACGCGACUCAAUCCACCACUUUCUCAAUCUUAUUUCGGUAAUUGAGUAGUGAGCUACAUUGCAAGAACAAGACAUGCCGACUUAGCUGGAAAGGAAGGCUUUACAAUUGCCGUGUUAUUAAUUGGAGAAGUCAUUCAGAAAAGGAUGAAGGAUGAGGAAUGGAUUCUGAGUAGUAGUUGGUUUAAAGAAUUGGACACCAUACAUUGGAAUCGAAAGCUUACAGUUGCUGGAUCCCCAAAGCAUAACUUAUAUGCUACUGAUUUUGGAUGGGGAAGCCCCGCAAAGUACGAGAUCGUUUCUAUUCACGACGAUGAUGGAAUAUCAAUGUCUCUUAGUAAAUCUAAGGACUGUGAUGGAGAUUUAGAGAUUGGUUUGUCUUUGUCUAAAACUCGAAUGAAUGCUUUUGCUGCUAUAUUCACUCACGGUCUCAGUUUUCUAUAGCAAGCUUGAGUCGAGGGGUGGGAAUUUGGCAAGGACCCCUAUGUAUUUAUUAAGUACUAGCAAUUAGCAACAAAAUAGACAUAAAUUCUUACCUCUUGUGUCCCAGAUGAUAUACAGCAAAUUUUAGCUGUAAUUAGUCCAAAUAAGAAUGGUGUAUAUCUUGAUAUCAAAUAAGGCUUUACAUAUCUAUAAUCUAUAAUUUAUAUCUAUAUCUAUAAUCUAUAUUGUGAAGGCCUUAAAAAAGUGAAUUGAACUUUUUGUCCUUCGUUAAAAGUCUUUUCUUUAAAUAAAAUCAUCUUUUACUAAUUUUUUAAUAUUUAAAAAUAACUAUUUAAUUAUAUUUUAAAACAUAGAGCUUCUUUCCCUGCCUUUCAGAUAUAGGAGUCGCUACCAAAAGCUUACGUGAAGUAGAAUUGAACGUAGGGUUCAAACCUUUAAAUUAGGACAAGAAAAAACAUAGCCCACUUUUUAGGUUUAUUUUUAUCUGGCGAGUUGUGUCACCAAAAAUCUAUUUUUCCCUUUGUUAUUAAAAGUGGUGCAAAUUUACAUUCCACAAUAUUUUACUGCACAUUAAACUUAGAUACAGUGUGUGAUUUUUUGUCAUUUUAUUGUAGGCUUUAUUGGGAGGAAUUGAAGUAAAGUAUCUGCGGUGAAUUGUGAUUCGAGGUAUGUGUUUUAAAUCUUUAGCAUGUUUUUGAAAUUUAGAACAAAUAAAUGUCACGUAUUUUUAUAGGUAAUUUGAAGAGAUAAAUUUGCUUGUGAUUUGAGUUGAGUUAAGUCGUUGAAAAUUUUAGUAUGUUCUUCAUUUUUACACUUGAUAGUAUCUAUGAUUAAAGAGAUAAAUUUGUUCGUAAUUUUGGGUAGGUUUUCUAAAACUUUAGUAUGUUUUUGAGUUUUACAACAAAUAAAUUAUUAUGUAUUUUUGAUAGACAAUUACAAAUUAAGGUUUUUUGUGCAUGUGUGCAUGAAAUCUUGAAAUAUCUCAUGAUUAAAGAAAUAAAUUUGCUUGUGAUUUGAGGUAAGUUUUCUAAAAUUUUAGUAUAUUUUUGAAGUUUGCAAUAAUAAAUUAUCAUGUAUUCUUGAGACAAUUGCUAAUUAUUAUUUUUAAUUAUUUAUAAGAUCUAUAAUUAAAGAGAUAAAUUUACUUGCGAUUUGAGGUAAGUUUUCUAAAAUUUUAGUACAUCCUUUUAUGUUUAUAAAAAUAAAUUAUCAUAUAUAUUAUUAUUUUUUUAUAAUAUUUGUUUAUAAUAAUGACUCAUGCACAAUUGAGAUAGUACUCGUAGUCUGACAAUUGUUCAGCUUUGUGCUUGAUGAAUUUUGUUCCUUUUCUCCCAUUGUAUGCAUUUGUUUUGGUUUUUGUUACUAGCAAUAUAUAUAUAUAUGAAGACCCUUUAAAAAUAAUUUGAAUUUUUGGUCCUUCACUAAAAGACCCUCCUUUAGAUAAAACUAUCUUUUCACUAUUUUUUUUAAUUUAUUAUUUAAUUAUUUUUAUUAUAUUAACUAGAUUCCUAAAACAUAUGAGACUCGUAAAAUAUAUAAAAGGUGAAUCAAUUAAUAUUUUCCUUUGUACUGAUCAAUUAGAAAAAUAUUUCUAAAAUAGGACUAAUAUUUCUAUAAAUAUUAAAAUGCAUGUUAAACUAGAGAAGAAACCGGUUUACUUAUUGAAAAAAUAUGAUUAAUGUUUAUCUAACUUGAUUCGGUUGCAUGUCUAGAUUGGUGGAUGUUUAAUUUUCUAACCCUCAACUUCUUCACUAUUUUUGUCAACAUAAUAGAAUUCAACGUGUGUGUAUAUAUAUAUCUUCUUUAUUUUCAUUCAAGUCAUUCUUUAGUGUCAAAACUUUCGAUCAAACAAGAAUUAUUUUCAUAAAAACUGAAGCUUUGUGAUCACUAUUAUAUUAUUUUAUUUUAGUUUACAGGCCGUAGAUAAAUUUAUAGGUGGUAGAUGAAUGCUGAUCGACUUCGAAGAUUUUUGUAGGUAAAAGUUAGGUUUAAUUGUAUUAUUUUUAUAUCUCUAUUUUGAGAAUUUUUUUUUUUAUGUAAAAGUGAAGUUUAGUUGUAUUAUUUUGAUAUCUCUACUGUCGUAUAAUUUUGUACUCCCUUCGUUUAAAAAAGAAUGACCUACUUUGACUUGGCACAAAGUUUAAGAAAAUAAAGAAGACUUUUGAAUCCUGUGACCUUAAAUUAAACUUGUGUCAAAUAUACCAAAAUGUCCUUUAAUCUACAUGUCAUGUGGAAAGUUGAAAUUAAAGUAUUGCCAAAAAAGGAAAGAGGUCAUUCUUUUUUAAACGGACUAAAAAGAAAAAUAGGUCAUUCUUUUUUAAACGGAGGGAGUACUAGUUUACAGGUGGUAGAUGAGUGUCGGACGGCUUUAAGUAAAUUUUUGUGUAAAGUUUAGAUUAAUUAAAAUUGUUUGAUGUCUCUAUCAUCAUAUUAUUUUGUUGUAGUUUACAAGUGGUAGAUGAAUGCCGAUCGACUUUAAGAAUUAUUUUUGGUAAAGGUUAGGUUUAAUUAAAUAAAUUCUCCAAAAGAUAUUGAAUUUAAUUAUUGUAUUCAUCUUUAUUAUUUAAACAAAUAUUAUAUUUAGUGUAACGUUUGAACUCAAUAAAGUGAGGUACACGCACAAGACACAUACACCUAAACUAGUAUUAUUAAAAUGUCAAAAGCGGCCUUCAAUUAAUAUUAAUUAUAAUUUUACUCUUCUAAACAAUUAAAAAAUGCAAGCAAUAGCAUGGUAUAAAAAUUUAAGCAAUAGCAUUGCAUGUCACGAUAUCACUAGCUCAUAUAAACAUUGAUCCGUCAAUAGAGCACCAAAAAUACAUAAAGGCUCAUUUAUUACAUAAUAAAUAAAAUUGUGUCAUAUUCUUCAUAUCAAAUCACCAUAUGUGAUAUAAAUAGAAGUGAAAAUACAUUUUAAUAAGGGAAAAUAUGCACCUAAGCUUUGCGAAAAUAUUUAGAUAUACCCUUCGUUAAAAGUUUAGCUCAGCAAUGCCCUUGCCGUUCAAGUUUUGGUCCAUAUAUACCCCUGUUGUUAAGUUUUGGAUCAUAUAUGCCACUGUUGCCAAGUUUUGGGCCAUAUAUACCGUUGUCGCCGUUAAUUGCUUUGCUGAAAUUUUUCAACCCACUUUUUCUUCUUUUUUUCCCAUAAAAAUUUAUAUUUUCCACAUCAUUUUUUAUUGCAACAUCACAUAUAAUUAAAUCUACCCCUUCUCUACACAUUAAACACGUCUGUCAGAUGCUCUCAUAUACUUCACAAUCUCUUUGAAUUUUCUCUAAUUUGUCGAAACCUUUUGUUGUAUUUUCAGAUUCUUACGUAAUUGUUUCUCUCAUACAUGCAUACAUACAAAAGAUAUCCUCUUAAUUGACAACUUAUUUUUGUUGUCUCUAUAUGGGCUUCCUCUUUAACACUUCUACAUCUCAAUUUCUCACUUAGGUUUUUCUUGUUCUUCUUAUUCUUGAUGUUGGAAUUGACGGUGGUGUGAAAGAUGAAGUAGGUUGAUCUGAUACUAAAAUAAUUUGUAGUUGGUAAGUACUUUAAUUCUUGAUUUUUAUCGCAAUUAUGCAUUGAGUUUUUAUGGGGUGUUCUUGACUUUUUUCAUCUUUUACUUGAUUAUUCUUGGGGUUAUGCAAGCAUCAUAAAAAACAACAAAAAUAUUUCGACAAAUUAGAGAAAAUUCAAGGAAAUUGUGAGGUAGAUGAGAGCAUUUGACGGGUGGUUAAUGUGUAGAAGAAGGAGUGAAUUUAAUUAUAUGUAAUAUGACAAUUAAAAAGUGAUAUGGAAAUAUGAUUUCUUAAAAAAGGGGGGUGUGGAAAAUUUUAGCAAAGCAAUUAACGAUAACAGGGGUAUAUAUGAUCUAAAACUUGAUAACGGAGGUAUAUAUGAUCCAAAACAUGAUAACAGGGGUAUAUAUGACCCAAGUCUUGGACAACAAGGGCACUGGUGAGCUAAACUUUUAACGGAGGAUAUAUUUGAACAUUUUCACAAAGUUUAGGGGCAUAUUUGACCCUUUUCCAAAAAAUCAUAAUUAAGUAAAGAAGUGUAUUUCACAGUCAUAUGCAAUGAAUAACUUCUAUUUUUUCUGAGUUAAUAGUGUAAAUAGCUGGUCAACUUUAUACAUUCAUCUCAGAAAGCCACUUAACUUUGGACUUUACUCAAAAAGUCACUCAACUUUAAUCUCUUAGAAAGUCACUCGACCCAUUUAAUUACUUUUUACACUAAAUUAUUCUUAUGUAGAUUUUUUUUAAUAACAAAAUUUGAAAAAAUACAAAAUAUUCAUUUAAUGACACUUGUACCCUUUCCUUUAUGUUGGUGAAAUUACAAUAAUAUUACAACUGGAAAAAUUACAAGUGAAGAAAAAUCAAAAGUUAUCUUCUUCUUCUUUGGCUGAGGCGUGGAUAUCUCGCUCUCUUUAAGGAAAUUCAAGCUCAUUGCAGCAAAAUCAUUUCACCGGUCCAGUAAUCUUAUUGACUUGUCCCCUCCAGGAUACAACAACCUUCUCAAAUAACAAUUCAACAACUCUGGACAAGAGUUGAAUUCAAAGCUCUAUAAAAAGAACACCUCUCUUCAGCUAAUGAACUCUCUUUUUUACUAUCCUUUGUGAACUCCCUAUUAUCCUGUGUAUAUUCAAAAAUAUGCAAGACCAUCUCUAUUUAUAGGUAAUAAAUCUUUCAUACAAUGAAUAAGAAGAAUAAAUGGAUAGUAAAGAGGGAAGAUCAAAUGCCUAUAGGUUACAAGAGUUACAUGAGAUAUAAGAUAUAAUGAGUAGGAUAAUAGGGGAAUAAAGAUAUAAGUUACAAGAAACUUAUGUCUACAUUCUAACCACUAACUCACAAAACAUAAUGACCUAGGUGAAUGCUAACAUAAUGAGCAACUAAUGGCCAAAAUAGGUUACUAAAAAAUAAAGACAAGUAAUUCCCAAUAAGUUAAAAAAAUGCCAGCCAUUUACUGCUACUUGAUAAAAUGCUAGCACUGAUACGGUUAUCUUCAUAAUGAUACUCUCAAAAUGAGAGUUAAAGUGAAACUGUCGAAGAAUGAAAUUUGUUUAUGCAUUGCCAAUAAUGGACGUACCAUAUUACGCAUGCAAUGAUGCAUAUAAUUAAUAUAAAAAUGUCUAAACUUCAUCAAUCCCCCACUCAUUUUAAUAUUAACACAAGAGAGUCUACUAACUUAAAGAAGACUACCAUGCAUAAUGAAGGUGUGCUCUUCAUUGAACCUCCACUUAGUAAAAUAGUAUUUUUUACUCCAGAGUCGUAGUGGUCUCAAACUUGAACUAUGACUACUUAAGGAAAAUAAAAAGUUACAACUUACACAUAAUAGUCAAGGUAUUGACAUGAGGUCUAUAGCCAGUACAUUACGGGCUUGUGUUAUCCCGAUUUCAUGAGUGUCUUUAAGAAUGAGCCUAAUUCUCAUAGGAAGUAGCCUACCCCAACACUUACAUAGGUGAAAUAUGUUGAGAGUGCUCCUGUAAUUUUAGCACCCGACUUAUACGAGCUACAAAUUUUCAUUAAGAGUUUUUAAAACUCAACUUCACAAUCAUUAUAGGUAAAUGCACUCACAUCAUAGGGAGGGGUAAAAAAAUAGUGAAUCUUUCACAACAAGUCAUCAUGUAAUUCGUUUUUUCCAUUGAACCUGGUUAUAGGAUCUCUAAUUCCCAGGUUAGGUUUCCUCACAUAUGACUCAAGAUUCAACAGGCUUCAAUACCAUCCCCCUCGAUGUGCUCCAAACAUUUUCUCUUGCUAAGGCCUUAGUUAAUGGAUCGGCAAGAUUUUUACAAGAUUUGACAUAAUCAACAUUAAUGGUACCAUUUGUCAAGUAUGAUCUCAUAUUACUGUGUUUUCUCCUUAUAGGUCUGGAUUUACUGUUGUAAUAAUGAUUUUGAACUCUACCAAUUGCAGCGGUGCUAUCACAAUGAAUUAAAAUAGGAGAAAUUGGUUUUUCAAAAUAAGGUAUUUGAAAUAACAAAUCUCUCAACCAAUUCGCUUCCUCACUAGAUGAAGCUAAAGCAAUUUGUUCGGCCUUCAUGGUAGAGUUAGCAAUAAUUAUUUGCUUUUUAGACUUCCAACAAAUAGCACCACCACCCAAAGUAAAAGCAUAACCAGUAGUGGAUAAGGAAUCACUGAUAAAGUGUUCCAAUCCACAUAUAUCAAAAAAGCUUUCAAGUAGAACAAGAUAUUUUUAUAGAACAAACCAUAAUUUUUUGUUUCAAUUAAAUAUCUCAUUACCCUCGUUACAACAUGCAAAUGUUCAUUACCUGACUUGCUAGUAAGCCUACUAAGUACUCCUACUAUAUAUGCAAUAUCAGGCCUAGUGCAAUCAGUCACAUAUCUCAAACUUCCAGUUAAGCUAGCAUAUUCCUUUUAAUUUAUUAAAUCAUUUUCAGUUUCAAUAGGAAACAAAUGAAUACAAGAAUUAAAUGGAGUUACAACAUACUUUCAAUCAAGGAAAUUAUAUUUUUUUCAAUAUUUUCUCAACACAAUGUAACUGCUUAAGGAAUAUUCCAUCACAUGUUCUAGUAAUUUUUAUUACUAGAAUAAAAUUUUCCUCACCAAGAUCUUUCAUAUCAAAAUGACUUCUAAGAAUAUUUUUAGUUUCACCAAUAACAUUCAUGUUAGAGCCAAAGAUCAAUAAAUCAUCAACAUAUAGGCAAAUAUUAACAUGCAAAUUAUUUUAAGACUUAUGAUAUAUGCACUUAUCGCACUCAUUAGUUUUAAACUCAUUAUCAAUCAUGCAGGAAUCAAACUCUUCAUAUCAUCGCUUUGGUGUCUGUUUUAAUCCAUAUAGAGAUUUAUUAAGCUUACACACUUUACUUUCUUGGCCAGCCUCAAUAAAACACUCGAGUUGUUUCAUGUAAAUCUCCUCAUUUAGGUCUCUAUUUUAAAAAAUAUUUUUUACAUCUAUUUGAUGAAUUUAUAAAUCAAAAAUUGCUUCGAUAGAAACUAAAAGUCUAAUGGAUGUAAUUCUAGUUAUCGGAGAAAACGUAUCAAAAAAUUCUAGGCCUUCAAGUUGUUUAAAAUCUUUAGCCACUAGCCUAGUUUUGUAUUUAUCAACAGAUCCAUCCGAUUUUAACUUUUUACGUAAGACCCAUUUACAUCCAAUUGUUUUACAACCCGGUGGUAAAUCUACUAGCUUCCAAGUCUUACUGAAAAUUAGUAUUCCAUUUCAUCAUUUACAAACUCUUCCCAAAAAAUAGCAUCAUGUAAAGACAAAGCUUCUUUUAAAGUGAUAGGGUCAUCUCCACUGUUAAGAACAUAAUAAUCAGGACUAAAGUCAUUUUCUACUCUACCUCUUUUACUUCUUCUUAACUAGAAAUCAUCAUUUUCUUUGUUUUUUAAAACAGAAGUGGAAAAACUAGGUAGUGACAAAAUAUUUUCUUUAGUCCUUUGACCCCCACUAUUUUUAGAAUCAAAAGGAAAUUUAUUUUCCUGAAAAAUAGCAUCAGCUGAUUCUAUUAUCACACUAUCUUCAAGAUUAAAAAAUCUAUAGGAUGUACUAUUUGAAGCAUAACCAAGAAAAGCACAACUAGUAACUUUUUUUACCCGACUUAGAGAUUUUAGGAUCUAUUAACCUUACAUAGGCUAAGCAACCCCAAACUUUUAAAUAUCCCAAAUUUGGUUUAUGACCUUUCCACAACUCAAAAGGUGUUAGUUUGGUCUUUUUAUGAGGCACACGAUUCUACACAUAACAAGGAAUCAAAAGAUCUUCAACCCAAAAAUUUAAAGGUGCACAAGACUCAAUUAACAUGACAUUAUUCAACUCAAUCAAAGUUCUAUUCUUCCUUUUCGAUACACCGCUAGAUGCAGGAGAAUAAGGAGAAGGAGCAUCAUGGAUUAUACCCAAUGAUCUAACAAAUGAAUUGAAUUCAUGUAACUCGUAUUCACGACCUCUAUCACUUCUAGUUCUUUUUAUUUUUCUUCCAAAAUGAUUUUGAACUUCAUGGAGAACAGUUUUAAAGUCCUCAAAUGCAUCACUUUUAUUUUUUAUUAUGUAAAUAUAUGUAAACUUAGAAAAAUCAUCAAUGAAAGUGAUAAAAUAUCUAUUUUCUCCAUGAGUUAAAAUUCUACCAAGUUCACAAAUAUCACUAUUAGCUAAUUCUAAUAAAUCAGUUUUUCAUUCAACUUGAAAAUGAGGCCUUUUGUGAUUUUUGUUUUACUACAAGCCUCAAAUUUUUUAAAAUUCUUUUUUAUCACUAUAAUUAAUCAUAAACUACUCAUGAUUCCAAUAUAACGAUCAUUUAUAUGACACAAAUGAGUAUGCCAAAAAUUAAUAGAAGAAAACAUAUAAAUAGAAGCAGAUGUUUUAUUCAUUUCAACAUUCACCUUGAACAUACCAUCACAUGCAUACCCCUUUCCCACAAAAAUAUUAUUUUUCACAAUUACAUACUAAUCAGAUUCAAUAAUCUGUUUGAAGCCUGCUUUAUUAAGAAGAAAACUAGACAUUGAAUUUUUUUCUCAUGGAAGGAGUAUAAAGUACAUCUUUUAUAAUUAAUACCCUUCCAGAAGUAAAUCUCAACUCGACAUCUCCCAUUCCAAGUACUUGAGUUGUGUGUGAAUCUCCAAGCAUGAUGGUUUUGGGAUCCUUUUAAAAUUAGUAUAUUUUUUAAACCAGUCUUUAUCAUAACAAACAUAAUGGUUGUUGACACCUAAUUUUUGCCCUCCACAACUAGCUUUAAUUUUGAGUUUCUUUGAUUUUCAAUAAAAUUACAACAUUUAUUUUAUCGAAUAAAGAAACUUUUCAAAUGUAUUUAUCUUGGUAAGUUUGUCAUUUAAGUAGCAAUUAUAUAUUAUUGUAUUCAAUUAUACGAAAUCAUAUAAUUUUGUUACUUAAAAUUUUGAGUUAAAUAUAAUUUAUUAUUAAAAUUAAUUUAUUUGAAAAAUAUUUGUUAGAUUUUUAUCAAAUCAAGAAACUCAAGGUUAAUUUGUUAUUUAAUUCGUGCCGGAUUGCGAUACAAUUUAGCAAACUAAUUAAAUAUGACCUCAAUUGAAAUCAAAUUGGCCCCAGUUAUAAUGCAAUUGACCAAUUGACAUUCAAUUUGAUUAGAAUUUAAAUAAGUCGUUUAAAUUGUAAUUCAAUCUAAAUUCCCUAAAGUUACCAUUUCUUAAUUGAAAUUAUUUUAAUCUGAUUAAAUUUAAUUAGAGUCAUUCUUUUGAUCUAAUUAAAUUUAAUUAUGAUUAUUCUAAUCUAAUUAAAUUUAAUUAUGAUUAUUUAAUAAUCCAAUUAGAUUUAAUUGGGGUUAUUACAUAACCCCCAACAUGACCUAAUUUGAGACCCAAGUCUGCCAAGCAAAUUGAACCACAGGCCCAUUUUCUCCAACAACCAGCCCACUCCUUAUUUUCCAAAUGACAAAACAAUUCCAAUCAGUCCCAUUGCUCCAACCCAACAGCCGUGACCCAAUUACAAAUCCACUGCACCAGCCCUAAGCCCAAUUCACAAUUCGACUCGGGCCCAUCCCUUUCCUUCUUCAAAUAGAAAACCACGACAACAACUAGACAAAACAGCUCCAAUAUCAGCCUUAACACCAUCCAAAUCCCAAUCAAUGUCUUCAACCUUCAAAGACUAGCGAACCCGACCCGAAUCCACCAAAUAGACCCGAACCAGCAUCAACCAAAAUUGACCCAACUCCAUUUGAGUUGACCCGACCCUGACCCAUGCAUAUUUGCAAAGAAAUUGGUUGAAUCUUCUAGAAUAUGGUGAGUUGGCCCCCUUCAACAUUCCAAUCCCAUGAAUCUCGGGUACUAUAGUACGAAUUCGUAUACACCUAUUCAAUUUCUAUUGGUUGGUAAAGAAAUUUGAUCCCUUCAAUUCCAUUGGUUGGAGAAUUUUGGAUUUCAUCAAGAAAAUUCCAAAAUCCGUAUGAGUUGUUGGUGGAAAACGUUAUCUUGAGUUCAAAUUUUGAAUUCCCUUUGGGGAAAAGCCCUGAAAUUGCCCUUUAUUUUCUUUUUCCCACAACGUUCAAGACUGAGAAUAGACCCCCCCCACCCCCCCUCUCAUUCCUCCUCUAUAUAAACAACUCACUGUUGAGCAAAAAAGGGGGUUGGGGGAAAUUCUUGGGUUAGGAAUUUUAGGGAGAAAAUUGGUUCGAAAAUUGAGGUUUGAAAAAGGGGUUCGGGAAAACUUUGGUUAGAGAAAAUUUCUUUGAAAAGAAAGAAGAGGGGAAAAUUUCUAAGGGCUAAGAAUUUUCUUUCAUAAUAAAAAGUUGUCUUUUCUUUCUUCUUUUGAAAAUUGGCUGAUUAAUCGAAGGCUUUUGAGUUGAUAUCACUGAUUGCUGGUGGUGGUGGAUCCCUACUUCAGCCCGUUCGUUCCAUUUUUCUUCUCCCUAAAAGGUAAUAUCCUACUCCAUUUGAGAUUUUGAUUGCCUCUGCUUCAUCUGGACCUUCUGUAGUUGUGAGCAAAUCUUGAGUAACAUUGUAUGCUGGGAUUGAUUGCUGGUAAAUGUCUUUGAUAGCCGUAGGUAGCUAUUGAUAGAUGUCCGAUUUAAUACUCUCAAUUUUGUGAACUGCUUAAGGUUUGUAUAGCUAACUUUAUGUUAAGGUUUCAUGUUCUUCGAUUCUGUUUUGAGUUGCUGGGUAUCUUGUAAGGCUGGUUUGUUGUUUAGAGUUUUCAUGCUUUUGAUUUUGUUUUGAGUUACUGGUAUCCUGUUAAGGCUAGUUUCGUGGCUAAAGUUUGAUUCUGUUUGGUCGUUUCGGGCUGCUUAUAUGUUGUUAUGGUUGGCUUCAUGGUUUAAAGUCUCUUGCUUUGAUCCUGUUAAAUAGUUUUGGGUUAAUGGCGUGUUAUUGUAGCUAUUUCCGUAGUAAAGUUGCAUGCUUUGAUUUUGGUUCGGGCUACUAGUACCCUGUUAUAGCUGAUUUCAUACUAAAGUAUCAUAUUUCGAUUUUUAGUAGUUCGGGUUUCUAGUAUCUUGUAAUAGAUUGGUUCCGUCAUUAAAGUUUCAUACUUCGACUCUUGAUUAGUAGUUUUGGGCUUCUGGUAUCUCGUUAUACUUGAUUUUAUGGUUAAAGUUUCAUGCUUUGGAUUUCGCUUAACAAUUUUUUUUAAGUCGUGGCAUCUUGUCUCAUGAUUAAAUUACCUAAAAUUGGGUUUAUGUAGUGUUUGAAUCUCACUUGUUUGUUAACCCAGUGGUAACGAAGGCAUUAAGAUUUCAACCUUGCUUUUCUUGAAGUUUCAGCUAUCGUAUUCCACGCCUAAACUGAUUAAGUCUUUAAUUUUGUUUGUUUGGCAUUCUGGAAUUUGAAUGUUGCUUGUGAUCCAUGGUUUAUGUAGUAUGAUUUAGGAGUUGUAACUCUUUUUUGUGACAUGCUUAAUUGGGUCCUUUUGUGGCAUUAAAGUGAUAAAUUGUUUUCUUUAUUUAGCUAAAGACCAUAAGAAUUUCUUUUUGAAGCUUUAUUUCCUCCUGUAGUUGAAAUUUCUUUAAUUAAUUAUGAACAUUUUCUUCAAACUUUAUAGACUUUUGCUCCUGUGGCAUUUUUACCUGUGUGUGAAUGUAUUUGAAUGAAGCAUGAAUGUUAUAGCUUUUUAAUUGUUAAAAUCUUGGACGUGUGCUAAUUUCUUCAUUCCUUUACUUGCAGAGUUCAAAUGGGCUCCUUCUCUCUUUGCAUUUCAUAAAUGGUACCAUGAGGCUCACCUCGUUGAACUAAGCCCAAAAGAAGGUCCAAAAGCCCAUCGUUUGGCGUAUGGAUACGAGAAGACGGAAGGAAAGGAAAUGGAUCAAAGUCCUACGUUUGAAGUGGCUAAUAGAUAAAAGUCUCAUUUAUUAUUUUGUUUUGUUUAAUUUUUAUUGUCUUUAUUUAUUCUAUUUGUUUAUUUAUUUAUUCAUUCAUCCGGGCCAUGAAGCCAAGGUUGUAUUUAACACAGGUGGAGGCAAGAUUUGAGCCAAACACUCGAAAACUAGAUUAGGAUAGGUGAAAUGGGUCGAAGGCCCAUUUAGACUAGGACAGGUUUUGUUGGUUUGGGCCAAUGGACUAAAUCCCUUAGUUCCUCCCUUUCCCCCUGUUCUUUAUGUUUUUUUUUCUUAUGUGCUUUGCGAACCUAGUUGAAUUCUAAGUGAAGUCGCUAAAAAACUGAUUUUUGCAAAAUUCCUAAUCAACUACUUUUCAACAAAUUAAUCUUUUAGAAGUUAAUCAAAGACGUUAUCAAACAGUCCGAAUAUCCGCAAGUUAGCGGACGUUUUAGGUGGCUAACACCUUCCUAAAUCGUUAAUAGGAACUGCUUAACUAGAAUCUCUAACUUAAAACAAUUUUCUUGUUUUGAAUCAUUUGAAGUAAAUCUCUAAAGGUUUCUUAAUUCCUUUUCAAAAUUAAGUGGCGACUCUUCUCUAGAGUCAAAAUUUUCGCAAAACAAAAAUGGCGAAUCUACUGGGGAUUUUUUGAACUAGGUUCUAACCAAAUAUUUAAUUUCGUCUUUUGAUUAACUAUUUAUGUGUCUACAUGUUUCGAUUCUGUAAAGUUUAACUAUCAUAUCUCAUAGCAUAUUCCUGGAUUAUUUAAACUAUUUUGGGGUUUUGUGGAUGUCUCGGUCCCCUGUUGUUCAAUUCCAAAAAUGUGUUGGAAAUACGAACGGCUUAUUAGUACGUGAGUCGUCUGAUGGUUGUUUGUAUUUUCAAACUCCAGUUGUCCGCUUGAGAAUCAGUGUUCAAACCCACUCUAGAUACCUAGGAUAGAACGAAACCAAAAUCCUAUUUUAGGCAUGAUCCUAGGAUGACCCAAUACCCAAGCGGGUUAUUGGGCUCGUUAGAAAACCUGCCCUGCAUCUAUUGACCCCGAGUCAAUGAUAGACGAACCAUAUUUAUAUGUUGAAGAAAAUUUAUGCAUGUUUAAUUCAAUUCAUUAUCCUUUAGGGGUCGGGAAAAAACUUGAUCUGCUUACUUUCGUAAGAAGAACUGAAGCAACUUAAGCAAAAAAUUGAUCAAUUUGGGAGGUUGCAUCUAAGGCACAGUUUGAACGUCAACGGAUGUGAUCAAUAUAGGAAAUGGAAGAAGCUAAGAGCACGAAGGCCAAUAGAAGAAGCAUUCAAUAAUUAGUAUCCCCUGUGUGGGACAUUAUUCCCUUUCCCUAAAGAUUGUAUCCCUUUUGUUCAACUUUUGUAGAUAUUUAUGUUAUUUAGGUAUACCUAUGAAGGUUUUGGGGGAUACUGGAUUGGCUUUAAAAAAGACAUAUAUUUUCUUCAAAAUUCAUUAGGCCUAAACCCUUGGCUCAAAUGGGUCACCUAAUUAGGAUGCAUGUUUAUUACAAUAUGCUUGUGUAAUAUAACUCUUUAUGUGCUUAUACGUGUUAUGUUGAUUCGAAUCAAAGGCGAACUGAUCCAAUCCCAUUUAUCAUAGAACAUCUCUAGGCAGAAAUAUACCCCACUAUACAAAAGUCCGACCAAAAGUACUCCAAGUCUCCCAAGUUUCUU